rnacentral:lncRNA from 1 species
UUCCAAUCUUCAGAUCAAUACCUUGAUCGGCCGGUAGAGUGGUCGGGAUCGUGAAAUCCAACCGGGUCACGUUUGCAGGUCAAGUCGGGUUUGCGGGUCAACUUCUCUCCCUCCUCAUCCACUCACAAAGCGCCACACGACUCCCCUUGGCCAGGUUGUUGCUGCUGGAAUUUGUUUUGCUGGAACCAUUACUGGUGCUAGAAUUGAUGCUCGAGUUGUUGCUGCUAGAAUUGUUUUUGCUGGAAGUGUUACUGGAAUUUUUUUUGCUAGAAGUGUUACUGGUGCUGGAGUUGGUGCUCGAAUUGUUGCUGCAAUUUUUUUUCUUUUUUUUGUGUUUGUGUGUAUGAACUAGAGGUGGCAAAAAUAUAUGCCCGGUCUAGACCCGGAUCAUACCCGAGCGUUGUUAUUCGGCCCGGGUAUAAAGUUGGGUUGAUCUUAGGUAUCACUUGAUAAACCCGGAACCUGGAUUUUAUUAAAAAAAUUAUAAAAAUAUAUUAUUUUAAAUAUUUAUAUUUAUUUGACUCAUUUAUUAUACAUAUAUAAAGUUUUAAAUACUUAAAAUUUAUAUUUUCAUGUUAAAUUUUAUUGAAAUAAAUUUAAAACUUAUAAAAUUAUCAAAAAAUAAAAAAUAUAUACACAUAUAAUAUUAAAUAUAUAUAUAAAAUUCGGGCACUAGAAUUAAAACCCGACCCGGACCCAAACCCAGACCGAUUGCAUUCGGGCAGGGUCCGGUCAUUGCAAUACCCGGACCCGGCCCAGGGUUUUGCCAUCCCUAGUGUGAACUCCUGAUUGUUUUUUAUUAUCUUGGGCACUUGUUGCUGCUGAUAUGUGUGUGUGAAAUUGCUUCAAUGAAUUGAAUACAACAAGUGCCCAAGUCUUGUUGGAAUCAACAAGUCUUGCUGCUGGAAUUGUUGCUACCGUUAGUGUUGCUGCAAUGAAUUGAAGAAGCAACGUCGUUCGGUUUAAGUGACCGUUUUAAAACUCACACACAUGUGCUGCACAGUUGCAAUUAAAAAGGAAAAGUGACCGUUUUAAAACACAGCGUUUUGGCAAAUUCAUAGUUAAGUUCGGGGCAUAUAGCAGCGCUCUAAUUAUAAACCCAAAUGAUUUUUUCUUUUAUUUUUUUUGUCUUUCACAUGCUAAAUCCACCACCCUUACCGAUAAAAAUUGGGAUGAUUUAUUUUUAUCCUAAUGAUCAUAAUAAAAAUUUUAAAAAUUUUUUACUAUUUUAUCAAAAUUAUUAUUUAAAAAUCAUAUUUACCCCAAUUUUUUUUUUAACUACAAUGUUUGAGGGUGUAUUAUGAAGUGACCAGCUAUACCCUAAACGAGAAGUCGACCUUCUUAUAAGUGAGCAGACAUGUGAGGUCUGGUAUCAGGUAGCCAAAAGCAGGCAUUUUCUGCUCGAUUACAAGGACACCCUAUGCUAGACCGUAGCACGAGCAGGAUUCCUGCUAGAAACCGAGAGCCUUCCUGCUGGAGACCGGGGUCGACAGACCCAGUCCAUAACAGUUAACGGGUGUGCACUUCUAUUCGAAAAUCUAAGCACGAAAUCCACUCGGCCGCAACUACAAUAUUCAAGCAUCCACUUCUGAGAGCUGGGGAGGUGGUGAACGUGGGUCAUGGGGGGCUAAAUUUAUAGGAAGACUAUAAAAGAGGUAAUCAACGAAGGUAAAAAGGUUAAGCACUUUUACAUAAAAAUUAAGAAAAAAAAAGCAUUCUAGGAAAAACCUGUGAAAAGCUCAUAGGUAUUUUAUUGCCUAGGGAGCCACGAGAUCAGUGGCAGAAUUUCUUAAAAAGUCAACCCAAAUUUCUAAUUUGAGCGUUGAAGGGUUUACACGGAGAAAACUUCCAGCGUGCUCUGACUAAUUUGUGUGCACAGGAGUUCGUCGAGAAGAAGUUGCAAGAGGCAUACCUCUAUUCGCCUAGAAGAGUAACAUGAAGUAUACUCGGUAGGCUGCAAGUUUAAGAGUUAAAAAGAGAUCCUGAUCGUAAAUGAGCAGACACUAAAAUCUCGCAUCAAUAUAUAUAUAUAUAUAUAUUUUCACCACGACUAUAACUUUUAAUAUAACUUAGGUUAUCAAAAUUUUGAGCUUCAUUCAACCAACCAUAAAUCAUGAUUAAAGUCUACGUUGCGUAAGUCAAGAAAGACUUUAAUGGGAGAGAGAUCAUCUUUAUUAUCGACACUACAAAUGGACCCCAAUUAUAUCUAAAGUCUUUGGGCUCGUGUCCCGUUGUCUUCUUCUUUUUCAAAACCCUAUUUACUAACCAUUAAUUCGGUUGGUUGAUGAAUCCGGCGGUUUCUGAUUUUCUUAUUUAUUUUUAUGCGAGUGACCCCGUAACGAUAGCAUCGCAAUCUCAUGAAAAAAAAUUUUCCAAACGCAUGAAAAUUGGACACCCAUCAAGAAAAAUCUUUUUGUUACAGUAUUUACUGUACUUUCAAAAUUUUAAACAUGACAAAAAUUAAGUAAUCUACUUAUCAUAAUAAUCUAUGACCAAAAAUAUUGAACAUGUAAUUUUUUUUUUUUUUGUAAUUAUACACGCACAUCACUCUUUUACGAUUAAUUGACUAAACAAGUAUGAUAAACGAUUUUAUAAUGGAUUGUCUCAUAAUCUAAAUUUAUCAAAUAUUUUAAUGGUGAGACUAUUCGAAUUGAAUCCAUAAAAUUCUUUUAAAAUUUUCUUUACAACUUAUAACAUACUUUUUAGAAAGUCUAUCGAGUACUUAUUUAAAAAUUUUAUUUCAAUAGAUAUCAAGAAAAAUUAUUUGGUUAAGAGAAAUGAGCCCCUUUUGAGUUGGUGAAGCAUGAGCUCAUCACUAGGCAAUCCAUCAAAUUAUUCAAUAAACACAUUUACCCCACACAUCUAUAAUUAAUUAGAGGGAUGGAAUCAUUUGAACUUAUUAAAUUUCUCUUAACAUCCAUUUAUUUAACAUAUCCCCUAUCAAAAUCUUAAAAUUAAAUUUUAAUUCUAUAAACCUCUUAAUACCCCACAAAUAACCGUUUUAUGGUUGGUGCAAUAAUUUAGAUAAUUAAAUUAUUUAUUGUUUUUGGUAAUUUUUAUUUAAGAUUAUUUUUGUAAUAAAAUUUUUUAUUUAAAAAUAGGUCUAAGGUGCAUUUUUAUGGGGCCCAAACGACCUUAAAAUUAGAAAAAUUAAAUUUUACCAUAUAAAAGCAAAACCUCUUGUACUUCCUAAAGUAUCCUUGAUUAGAUUUCUUUUUUUAAUUCUAUUAUUUUCUCUCUCCUAAAGAAGUUGCUGUAUCCUUUCUGGUAAGAUGCUCUGUUCAGGCUUCAAUGUUGUUGGAUUGAAUUGGCAACUGAACUCGAAUCAAUUCUCAUGCAAGGGUUGGGGAAUUUGCUCAACUUAUAAUUGGUAGGUUUAUGCCUUUGGGAUCAAACUCAUUUCGCCUCUCCAAGAAUCUGCAAAAUUAAUUGGUAUUAUCAUGUCGGCGCUGCUUAUAAUUAGUAGUGCUUGCAUUGCCCUGAAUUCAGGCAUUGCUUGAGUAGAGUUGGGCUUGCUGAUUCAUUUUAGUGACAAAUGAAAACAUUAAAAAAAAAAAAAUCAGGACUUGUUCGUCCAAAUUUACAGAUAUUUUGUUCUUUAAUUAAUUUUAUUAUAACAAACAAUAGGAUAGCAGUGUUGUUUAACCAGUUGCUUACACCUUGGCAAUAUAGCUUUGUGUUUUUUUUUUCUUUUUUCUUUUUUCUUUUUUUUUAAUAGUUUGUGAGAUGGCCAGUGAUAUAUAUGUCUUUUUAAAAUUUUCAAUUAUUGGGGCAACGAACAUGUUAAAUAAUUUGCGGUGGAAAAGGUACCAAUACUGACUCAAUAUGUCGAAUUUCUAGAAAAUUUUAACAUCAAAUGCCUUGUUUCCAUUGUUGUAAGUAUAAGUCAAAUUUCUUGCAAAUUUUCUAUGGGUGUGAUGAUUUUUUUUUUUUUUUUUAGUGCAAACGGCUCACCCUUCACAUAUUCAUAGAGAUGUCAAAUUCUCUAUCUUCACCAUAAUUCUAGAUUGAGGAUUAUACAUAGAGAUCUCAAAGUAAGUAAUGUGUUACUUGAUAAUGAGAUGAACCCAAAAAUUUUAGAUUUGUGUGAGAUGGCACUGUUCACAUUAUUUUUUUAAUUUCUUUAAUUAAAAUAACAAAACUAAAUAAAAAUGUAUAAUAUUUAAUAAAAUUAAAAAUUCAAGUAUGUUGCCGCUAGUGCUGAUGAACUACUAGCGAAAGUUCGACGGCGGCUAGCCACAGGUGGCUACUGCAUGACAUCAUGUUUUACCCUAAAAUUUGGUAUCAUUAAAAUUCUCAUUGUCGGGGCUUCACAGUAGUGCCAAAACCUUGAAUGUAGAUCGAUGGUGAAUGGAAAUUCCUUUGCCGAUGAUAGUUGACCAUUGCAUAGCCCUAAUAAUAAUGAUUCUAAUGGUAUCAAAAUAUAGUUCAAAUGGUACUAAAGUAGGAUGGUCAAGGUGAAAAUUUUUUAUUUUGAUUAUAAAAUUUUAAAUUAUUAAUUGAAUAUAAAUAAUAAUAGAAUAUAAAUGAAACUUUGAUUAUAAUUUAAUAUAAAUAUUAAAAUAGAAAUUAUUAUUUUAAAUAAUACAAUGCAAGCUACAUCAAACAUCAUAUUGUAUUACAGCUUAAUACAAUAUAAUAUAAUACACUAUAGUAUGUCAAACGCAUCCAUAAAAAAAAAUUCAAAAUCACAAGAUUUAUUUGGUGGGCCUUACCUGCAUUAUCCUUAGUUUACUUUUUGAGUCAAAUAAACAAUAGGCCCCAGAGACUUUUUAGUUCAUCAUGCUAUUGCUUUAGAUGUAAAUACAACUACAUUGAUCUUGGCAAAGUGGACAGUUUACUUUUUGCGUCAAAUACUAUGUUGGGAUUAAUUUUUUAUAAAAUUAGUCUAUUCCACUGUCUUUAACUGCAUCCAAUCAUACCCCAAUGGUUAACUAUGAGAAAAAUUAAUAAGACUAGCAAUUUGUUUACUUGGAAUUGGAAUUGACAAAAAUUGCAAUGAGUUGAAAUCAGAACAGGCUGGAAUUGAUCACAUGAGAAAUAAGAAUCAAAGUAAGUUAUAUACUUGAAUCGAAAUCAACAAAAUUCCAAUUGAUGUAUUUACUUCUGUCUUGUAAUCCAAAUAAGUUGUCACAAGUCAUAAAAAUGUCCUUAGUUCCACUCUUGCCAGAUGUCAUGAUGAUAUACGUUUCAUCCAUCUGGUAAGCGAAGGAGUUAUUACAAGUUAAAAAAAUGUCCUUAGUUACAAUUAUGUAUUUUUCUAUGUAAAAUAAAUAAGCAAACAUUUUUAAAGAAACCAUUGGCAUAUUUAUUAUAAUAUUGAGUGUAAUACAAUGAGUUUUUGAGUAAACUAGUUGUUGUUGUUGUUAUUUUAAAUCAAUAAUAACUACUAUUAAUAUUAUUAUUGUAGGGAAAUUAAAGCCCUAACUUCCUAUUAAUUUAAUUCCCUCUUAUUACUAUAAGGGGAACCAAAGUUCAAAUACCAAGUUUUUGUUGCUGGCAGGACUCGAACCUACGCCCCUCAACUUUCUAGGUAUAGGUUCUCCCAUUAGAUUACAAGAUCGGCUUGUGUUAUUGUUACUACUAAUACUAUUAUUAUUAUAAUUGUUUAUUUUCUUAUUAGUAUAAUUAAUAUUAUUAAGAUUAUUUAAUUAUGUAAUAGGAAUAAAAUCAAAAUUUCAUAAAUUAAGGGAUAGUAAAAUAAUUAAUUUAGAAAAUGAAAAUCACAAUCCUACCUUCCCAUAGAAAUGAGAUUCUCAUUCCCACCUUUAAAAUUUGGUGGGCCUCGCAAAUUUCAUUCACAUUCUCAAAUAUCAAAUAAGCAAGUAAAUAAUGGAAUCAUUUCCAGUCUUCCAUUCUUGACUCCCAUUCCAAGAAGUUAAUAACCUUUAAUAGAACGUUCAAAUGAAAAGACUAGCCAGGCCUUGAGAAUUGACAUCGAUCAAUUAUCUCUUCCGUGUUAGAAAUAUAUGUUAUUUGUUUUGUCUUUUUUUUUUUUAAUUCAUAUAUUGUUGAAAAGUCAAAAUUGACGAUUUGUUUAUUCAAAUCGGUUGAAAAAUAAGAGGUGAGCCACAUGCAUAAUUGACUUUUGGAGGAGGUAGGAAUCGCAUGCAUAAUUUCUUUCAAAAGUGAAGAAUUUUUGCAACUUUAUGAAGACUUUUUUUAUGCAAUUGAAGAGUUUUUCAAAAGGUAGAAAUGGUGGCCCAAAUCAUUGAAAUAAUUGCAUGUAAAUUAGAUGUUAGGUGUUGGUGCCUAUAAAUAGAGAGCAUUUCUUCAUUCCAUUUCAUCCCAAAAAUUUGAGAGCUUAAGAGAAAUUACAAGUGAAGCAAUUAUAAAGUUCUAAGAGUGUGAGCAAUUGAAGAGUGUGUGUGAGAGUACUGGGUGUAUUUAGGUUUUGGGAAAGUGAGGCUUCUCUACUCAAAUUUGUACUCUAAUAAUUGUUGGUAAUACAAUUAUUUUUCUUUUGCUUCCGUGGACGUAGGCAUAUUGCCGAACCACGUAAAAUUCUGUGUCUUUUAUUUUUCUGUGAUUAUUUGGUGCGCUUGAUUUCGUAUUCCGUGCACAAUAUAUAUGAUCACUCUUGAAUCUCAAAAAGCAAAAAAAAAAAAAUCGCAUUAAAAAAGAUCCAUUGCAACUUGUAGACAAAUACAAAACAGAAAAAUUAGUAUUCCUAGUCCUCUGCCACGUUAAGAGACUCAUUUUUCUUACCUAUGAUCGAAGCUUCAUUUGGAGGAUAUGCUGUACAGAGUAGUUUUCCAAUCCAGUAUCUUGGAUUGGAGUUAUAAUCCGGGGGACAAUUUGUAGCCGUCGGAUCAAAUCCAAUGGCAACUUAUAUUUUUAUUUCAAAUAUUGAUUCCGACAGUAGGGCCCACAUGCAGACUUUUACAAUUUUUAAGGGUUCAGUUAUGUUGCAAGAGUUGUAAGGACCUCAAUUUUUAUCAAUUGUGAUUUAACUAAUGUAAAAUUUAACAGAACACCUUAUACUCUAUUUUAUUCAUAAAAUAUUAACAAAUAUUAUGAUAGCUUUUACUUACAUACACUAUUAAAAUUCUAUUUAACACCUUACACUCUUUUUAUUUAUUAUUUUCAUAAAUAUUAAAGUAUUUAUUUGUUUACAUCCAACACUAAUAUCAACAAAAAGACAACAAUACCCUUAAAUUUAUAAACUAAAAAUAAAAUUUUAGAUUUGGAGCCAACAAGUUUAAGGGACUCCAAAUCCAAGAUUGUGACUCUCUGUUGGUGCCUUUGACUACAAGUAACGCCAUGCCAUUGGCAGAAGUGGAUGGAUUCAUUCGACGAGCCUAAAGCACCAAGAGGAUCAUGGGUGAUCUUGGACUUGAAUUCAAGCAAGGCUAAUCGAUCUGUCCCGUUCCCAACAACUUCAGAAGCCCUCACACCAAGGAUUUCAGGAAUUAGAAUGGCGUGGAAGCUGAAGCAGAAUACAAGGACAGCAUACGCAACUAAAAAAGAGCAAGGGCAAGGCACUCUUAUGCUCAUGUUGAAUGGAAAAUUUUUAUCUCGGAGUUGCAGGUAAAUGGUGGAAUGGAUUUGUCAAAAUUUAAGGUUCAACAAUCAAGAAUAUAGACAAAUGUAUUCACUCAGCAAGGCUCUAUCUGUAAUUAUUAUUAUGAUAAUAAUGUAACAUUCAUAAUUUUGUCAAACAGCUUUCGGAGGGUUUAAUAUUCAUUUAAGUUCGUAAAAUCUAAAGUUCAUAAUUUUGUCAAACAGCUCUAUUUGUAAUACACUUGACUUGUUCUGGGAAAUUUCCCAGCCAAAGAACUUGCUUGUAAAAAUCUAAAGCAGCCUUAGCUAAAUAGUGAGCAAUAAAAUUACAGCUCCUAGAGACAUAUGUAAUUGAGGCCGAUGUCUGGACUUUCAUUUUUUCUUGAAUCUCUGCAAUUCUCCACGAAAUUUCAGCCUUGCUGCUCUUCUUACUUAAGGCUAGUUCCACCACUUCCUUUGAGUCUGAUUCAAGGAUCAAAGGGAAGCAAUCUGCUUGUUGAGUACUUUGAAAACCGAGCAGCAUAGCUUCAGCUUCCAUACAAGCUGCAUUUUCUUGAUAUGGGAUUCCCUGGACUGCUGCAGCAACAACUUUGCCUCUGCAAUUUCUAAUAACUGCUCCCAGCCCUGCUUUUUGUUUUGAGACAUUGAUUGCCGCAUCAACAUUACUUUGAACCACCCAUUUGGAGGAGUAGUCCAUUCCAACUUUCUGUUCUUGCUGUGCUCUGGAAUGGCUUGGGCAUUUGGGAUUUAAUUCGUCAGUAGGACUCCACUAUAGCUCCUGCUCUGGCAAAAGAUUGCUUCGGAUCUUCAUCCUUCCCUUAAAAAAAAAGCGAUUUCUGGAAUACCAGAUAGCCCAGCACACAGCAACAAAAAACUCCAGAUCCUUCUUUCUUCUCUUCAAAGCUACAUCUUGAAUUACACUUAACAUGUCCUGACGAGCCAACUGUUUAACUUCCUCAUCAAGAUCUGUAAAUUUCCAAAUCCUCCUCGCUGCUUUGCACUCCACUAAAGCAUGGAAAACAUCCUCACCUCUGCACUUGCACCUUUGACAAAAGGGAUCCGACACUACUUUCUUCCUCCAUAGAUUAUGCAUUGUUGGUAACAAUUCUUUCCGUCCUUGACGACCAAGAUCAGUCGGUAAUUGGUGCCGGAAACCAUCUUAGUCUCACCCUUCUCCACGCUCUUGAACUUGAACUCGUUCUUUGACUGUUUUUUUUGUACUCAUCACUGCAAACCGCCCGAUCUCUGUCACGUGCGGCUUGCUGAGGUCUUCUUUCGACUUCCAUCCCCCAACUAAGACUCCUUUACGAUCGCCGGCGGCCAGGAGAGGGGUUGUUGCCACGGCUUUUCACGACCACAAAAUACGUAAUCCCUGCACCUUGGGACAAUUGUGGGGGAUGUACCCCAUUCCCUUCAAAAUACCCAAUAUAUACCUAAAAUUAUAACGCUCUUAAAUUUUACAUAUAUAUACUCUAAAAAACUAAAAAAAGUACAAAAAUAACCACAACUAAAUCCUCAUAAAACUAAACCCAACUUUUCGAAGUCUGGUAAAUAGUCGAGAAUACUCGACUUCAACCAAACCAUACACAAUUAGUAAUUCAGCAUAAAUUCUCGACUUUUUCAUGUUAGUCUGGUAAAUAGUCGAGAAUACUCGACUUCAAUUAAAAUAAAAAAUUAUUUAAAAAAUUUUCAAUUUUUUCAAGUAAGUCGAGUAAAGAGUCGAGAAUACCCGACUUUAAUUUAAUCUUACCCAAUAUUCAUUCAACAAAAAUUCUUGACUUUUCAUUGAAGUUCGGUAAUUGGUUGAUAAUACUCGACUUAAAUUGAAAUAAAAAUUUUUCUUUUAAUUAAGUCAGGUAAAAAGUCAAGUAUACUCGACUUUGGUUGUGUUUAUGAGAGAGGAAGAGAGGAAGUAAACGUAAAUAAAUGAUUUUUUUAUGUUAUUUUUUACUUUUUACACUUUUAAGAGGUAUAUGUAUGUAAUGGGGUAUAAAUUUAGCAUUUAAGGACAAAUGGGGUAUAUUUAAAUAAAAAACCCCUGCACCUUAUCCAUUUUCUUCUAUCACUUGUCAAGAAGGGUAAUUUUAUCCUUUUAAGAUUUAUAAACAAAAUAUAAAUAAAAUUAGUGCAGGUGUUCAAGUAAAUUUGACAACAUUUAAAUUAUAAAAGACAAAAGUUAGGGUACGACAGUUGCAACUUGCAACAUAGCCGAGUCCAUUUUUAAUAUUAAAAAGUAAAGCUGCUUUUAAAUAGAGAACUGAUAUUCCCUCCCCAGAUUCUUCAUCAUCUGACUAAAGCCAAAAAGAACUGAUACUAACAAAUCACCAUUUGGGAUUUCCACUUUUUCAUUAUCCAUUUUAGUACAACUUAAAUCAAGGGGGGAAAAGGAAUAAAACAAGCAGAUGAUUACACAUGCACACUGAUUUCCAUUUUGUCACCAUUUCUUGCCGAUGUUGCCGCCGUAAUUCUUUUUUUUUUUGGUUUAUCUCAAACUUUGUAAUUUUAUUAAUAUUGAGAGCAUAAAAAACAACGAGUUCAUGGUCCAUCUGAUUUUAGUAAAUCAAUCAGGUGAGCUUUGCUAUUAACUUUCCUUCACUCCAGUCAGGCAUCAACAUCCAUCAAAAACUCACAAAACUUUCUCUCUUAAUCGCCUUUACAGACUCUUCCUUUCUCAUUUUUCUCGCUUUCUUCUUCUUCGAAAGCAGCGAGCCCUUCCAAUCCCUUCUUUUGUGGCUCUCCAUUUCCCUCUUCAUCCGCCCCUUCGCCAUCGCUCAACUCACCUGCGGUCACAGCCCAAUCAUUGAAACCCCUCAUAUCCAGAUCCAAAGAUUAAAAGGAAGCCUUAGAAGUCGCAAAAGAACCGAUCUUUAAACCCCCCACAGUUCGGUUCUGAUCGUUAAAAACUCAAAUGUGUCAAUUCGAAUUGAGUAAAAAGAGAAGAAAUUUGAAGUCUUGGAGGAAUGAAAUGGAGAGGAUAUUCAGAUUCUGAAAAGCAGUGAUGAAGAAACCGACGGGGAAGAUCAGUUCUCUCUCUAAAAAUUUUAUUAGGCAACUUUAUUUUUUUAAUAUUAAAAAUUAAAAAAAUCUGCAUGUGGGCCCUUAUGUUGGAAUCAAUAUUUGAAAUUAAAAUAUAAGUUGCCGUUGGAUUUGAUCCGACGGCUAAAAAUUGUCUCCCGGAUCCUGAAUUGGAAAACUACGCAUGCUGUACAAAUGAUUUAGCUCAUGUGAUUAAUAAAUAUAUACGAUCAUAAUUAAUUUCCAGCUUUUGGGGAAGUUAAAAAAUCCUUAUUUUUCCAUUUGUGUUUUAAGCAUGGUUUUUUACAAUUUUAUAUUUAAGUUUAAUAAAUUGAAUAGUAUGUGUGUAUUAUUUCAUUAUGUUUAUGUUUAUGUCUCUAUCUUUAAUUUUAAGGACGCUAUAUGUAUUAACUCAUAUUUCCAACGGCCGUACUUUAAUAGGAACAAGAAGACAUGAUUUCUAUUAGAGCAUAUUCGACAGAUUUCUAAAAUUAUACCAAUAUAAAUUCAUUAUUAGUUAGAUGAGAAAUAAGAAAUUUAAUUACAACAAAUGAUUUACAACGAUGACCCAAGUAAACUAUCAGUCAAGUCAAUGAAUAAAUUAACUCGCGUCACUGUUUCGUCACUAUUAUUAUUUUUUCGGCUCAAUUAUGAUUACACUUGAAAUCUGUAAGCUACAGACUGCAGCAUCAGCCGUUGGAUGUGGAGUGAGAAACUAAACAAUAGAAAAUGGGAUGGUGGGAGAUGUUUGUUGCAGAAUCUGUACCAUAGACAGAUAAAGCCUCUGUAAUGAGUAUUUUUUUCGGCUCAAUUAUGAUUAUUACAGUUGGAAUCUCGGACCCAGCAAAAAAUUAUCCGUUGAUGACAACCGAUUGCAACUUAUAGACAGAUACCAAAAAUAUAAUUAGUAUUCAAUGUCCUUUGUGAAGUUCUACACGUAAUUUAGCCGGUGGGGUUUUUCGAAAUUAUUGAUUAUUCUUUCCUUUGAAAUUAAUAUAAAAAAACAGCUCCAUAAUUUUUCUGUGUAAUUUAAAACUAUUGCAUGACAUUUUCUAAUCGGCCAUCCAUUAUUUAAUUGAUAACGGCCCAGCAUGCAUAUGGCUAGAAAUUCUCUUCUUCUAUUCUAAUUAAAUUUCAUGUAAACUUUUCUCAGUUUUCAGUGUUUGCCGAUAUAUUGAAGACCAUAAUAAUAAUAAUAAUAAUAAUAAUAAUAAUAAUCAUGAUGAAGAUGAUGUAUUACGUCCCAAAUUGUCUUCCUUAUAAUAUUUGGCCCUAAAACUGAUAAAAAUAAAAGAGUUGUACCAUUGCAUAACCGUAGAUCUAUGACGAAUGAAAAUCAUUUGCUGGUAAUAGUUGUACCAUGUCAUAACCUAAAUAAUAAUUAUUUUAAUAGUAUUAAAAUCUAAUUCAAAUGGCACUAAAGUACGGCCGUGAAAUUUUUUUAUUUUAAUUAUAAAAAUUUAAAUUAUUAAUUAAAUAUAAAUGAAUCUUAGAUUAUUCCUACAAUUUGGUGGGUCCCGACAUUAUUCCUACAUUUUAAGUCUUCGGCUCAUUUAUUUCCCAUUUUCUUUUUCUUUUUCAUAAACAUAUUUUCUAACCAUUGGUUUUUAUUUCUUAAAUACGACGGUUUGACUCCAGAAGCAUUGACUUUCAGUUCAAUGCCGUUAAAGAUGGACCACUAGUCACGGUAUUAGCAUCUAUAUAGUUUGUUAGAGAGAGAUCUAAACCAAUACACAAAUGGGUGUACUUUCAGGUCAGUGCCCUCCAAUAUGGAUUAUCAGUCAUGGUGUUUAAUUAUAUUUAUUUAACUUGUUAGAGAGAGCUCUACGCCUAUAGAGUAUAACAAAUGGGUGUACUUUUGUUUUCGUUCAUCUGUUGUAAGUUACUGUUUUUCUUGUCUGAAUCCUCUUUCACUUCCGACACCAUUACUUCAUCUCAGUCCCUCAGUGAUGGCAGGACCUUAGUUUCAAAAGAUGGAAGCUUUGAGCUUGGUUUCUUCAGUCCUGGUAGUUCCAAGAAUCGUUACGUGGGAAUUUGGUACAAAAAUAUGCCAGUUAAAACUGUUGUUUGGGUUGCAAACCGAAUCAACCCCAUUAAUGACUCUUCUGGGUUGUUAGUUGUAAACAAGACGGGCAAUCUUGUUUUAACAAGCCAGAACAAGAGUGUAGUUUGGUCAGCAAACUUGAGCAAAGAAGUCCGGACUCCAGUUGUAUUGCAGCUACUAGAUUCAGGAAAUCUUGUCCUCAGAGGCGAACGAGAUGGCGGUUCUGAAACUUAUUUAUGGCAAAGCUUUGAUUAUCCUUCUGAUAAUUUGCUACCGGGAAUGAAGCUCGGAUGGGAUUUGAAGGCUGGUCUUGAGCGGCGUAUAACAUCAUGGAAGAGCCCAGACGACCCGUCUCCUGGAAACUUUACUUGGGCAGUUAAACGACAAGAUAACCCUGAGUUAAUGAUGUGGAAGGGAUCAAGAAAGUUAACUAGGAGUGGCCCAUGGAAUGGCCUUAGAUUCAGUGGUUCAUCAUUAAGGCCAAACCCCGUUUUUAACUUCGGCUUUGUCUCUAAUGAGGUUGAGCUGUACUACAAAUUCGACAUGAGAGAUAAAGCUGCUUUCCAAAGGAUUGUUAUGAACCAAACACUCUAUUUAGUUCAACGAUUCACAUGGAAUAAAGCAACUCAAAGCUGGGAAUUGUAUUCAAAUGUGCCAAGAGAUCUAUGAGACACUUAUGCCCUUUGUGGUGCCUAUGGCAUUUGCAUCAUUAGCGAUAUGCCUGUUUGCCAAUGUUUAAAAGGUUUUAAACCAAAGUCAAGGGGAUAUGUGGACUGGUCUCAAGGGUGUGAGCGUGAUAAGUCGUUAAACUACUCUAGACAAGAUGGAUUCAUCAAAUUCACAGCGAUGAAAUUGCCAGAUGCUACUCUUUCUUGGGUGAGUAAAAGUAUGAAUCUCAAUGAAUGCCGGGAGAAAUGCUUAGACAACUCUUCUUGUAUGGCAUACACAAAUUCAGAUAUCAGAGGAGAAGGCAGUGGCUGUGCCAUGUGGUUUGGUGAACUGAUUGACAUGAGAGACUUUCCAGAUGGUGGGCAGGACUUGUAUAUUCGAAUGUCUGCUUCAGAGAUAGGUACUCGCAAACUUGUUUAUGUCACUCCAUUAUGAGAACUUAGGAGUACCACUCCAGUUAGACUAGUUGCACAUUUUUAUUGUGCAAUUUAGUAUUGAGUUCUGAUUGAGAAGCUCCUUUCGCAUAAAGCAGUUUCUGGGUAUAGCUUCUAUGCAUAGAAUUCUGCUGCUAUUUGAAUCAUUUGAUUAUUGACUUGCUUUGCUAUAUCUGAAUACGCUGAUCAAGGAGCGAAAGGUGAGCCUAGGACGAAGAUGGUGGUGAUAGUCAUUUCUAUUGCUGCUCUGUCAGCUGUGGUGAUUGCAGCUGGCUACUUGGUUCACAAAAGAAGGAGAAAUAUAGUAGGUAUAAUAUUGCUCCAUUUUCCUUCACAAAUUUUCGCUGACGAUUUGAUGCAGGCAAAUCAAACUCUUAUAAAUAUUAAAUUUAUAAGAGUAGAUUAAAUUUUUAUAUGCAGCAAUAACUGUAUAUUUGUUUCAAGAUGAAGCGUUAUCAGUGCAUAUCAUUUAGAUCAGGGGCAAGGUAAUUAAACAUGUAAAUUUUUCGUUGGAAUAGCAGGUUUACUUAUUUGCAUUUAGUGUUAUAUUAAUACACGCCUCUUUUUCACCUAUGGUUCUUUAUUUACUUGCACUUUCAUAUUGACUGGAAAAUAUCUUUAAUACAAAUUUACAGAUAACGAACCUUCUCAUCAAGAACAUGAAAAUUGUAGUUACUAGUUAGGAGUUUAAUAUUAUCCAAUAUUUCAGAGAAAACAGAAAACAACAGAGAAACUGAUCAGGUUCAAAACAUGGACCUGGAGCUACCACUGUUUGAGUUAGCUACAAUUGCUAAUGCCACCGAUAACUUUUCAAUCAACAACAAGCUUGGAGAAGGUGGCUUUGGACCCGUUUACAAGGUAAACUUGAAAGCUGCAAGUCAAGAAUACUUAUUUUACUGGGUAACUAAAUUCACAUAUAUCUUCCCAGGGCACCCUAGUGGAUGGACAGGAAAUUGCGGUAAAAAGGCUUUCGAAGAUUUCUGAGCAAGGAUUGAAGGAGUUAAAGAAUGAAGUUAUACUAUUUUCCAAAUUACAGCACAGAAAUCUUGUAAAGCUUCUUGGCUGCUGCAUUCAAGGAGAGGAGAAAUUGUUGAUUUAUGAAUUCAUGCCCAACAAAAGCCUGAACUCUUUCAUUUUUGGUCUGGGUCCCUGUAACCUUAAAAUAUUCGGCUAGCUUGUGCCUUGAUUAUAGACGUUUCUUAUGUAUUUUCAGAAAAUUUUGUGCUAACCUUAAUGUGGUAAUUUGUAGAUCAAGAAAGAUGUAAGAUAUUGGAUUGGCCCAAGCGUUUCCACAUUAUUUGUGGGACUGCUAGGGGUGUUAUGUACCUUCAUCAAGAUUCUAGAUUGAGGAUUAUACAUCGAGAUCUCAAAGCAAGUAAUGUGCUACUCGAUCAAGAUAUGAACCCAAAAAUUUCAGAUUUUGGUUUGGCAAGAGCUUUUGGUGGAGACGAAAUAGAAGGAAACACAAACAGAGUGAUUGGAACAUAGUAAGUACUUCUUGUCGUGUGAUCUUUACGAUUCACUUGUACUGAUUAAUGAAAAUUAACUUAUAUAUUUUAAUCUUUUGAAGUGGUUAUAUGGCACCGGAAUACGCUAGUGAUGGGAAAUUCUCAGUAAAAUCCGAUGUCUUCAGCUUUGGAAUUUUAUUGCUGGAGAUAAUAAGUGGAAAGAAAAAUAGAGGAUUUUAUCAUUCCGACAACAAGCUUAACCUUAUAGGACAUGUAAGUAAAAUGCAUACGACAUUUUCUAACAUAGUUUGAACUAAUAAACUGUAGAUGAUAAAAGAGUUUUAAUAUGUUGUAGGCAUGGAAGUUGUGGAACGAAGGCAUGCCUUCACAAUUAAUCGAUCCGUGUAUUCAAGGUUCAUUCAAUCUUGUUGAAGUGAUACGAUGCAUCCACAUCGGUUUGUUAUGCGUGCAACAGCAUCCAAAGGACCGGCCAAGCAUGCCCUCAGUGAUUUUGAUGUUGGGCAGCGAGAUUGUGUUGCCUCAGCCAAAGCAACCCGGUUACUUGGAGGACAGGAAAUCUACCAGACAAGAUUAUUCAUCAAGCACGCCUGAAUCAUGUUCAACAAAUACAAUUACGAUCUCUGAGUUGGAGGGUCGGUAGAGAAUCUAUUUGUGGUAUCAAGUGCAAAAGCAGUAAUAUGUCAACCAAAUGGAAAGUUAAGAUAAAUGAUUGGAGAAAAAAUGAUGAGGAUCAUCCAGUGAAUGCAUGUUGUGGAUCUAAAAGUUCAGAAGAUAGGACAAUUUUGCAGCUGACUGGUUGGCUAAAAAUGCAGGCUCUAUGCCUCUCGGAUUUCAUGUUUAUCAAGAACCUCCUGUAGGUCAUGAUCCUUGGCUUUGUUAUGAUAGGUAUGGGACAAUGAUUUCUCAUUCGGUUGUGUCUUAACUUGGCUAAGCCUAUUUUUGGUAAAAAAAAAAAAAAGAAUUUAAACUAAUGUUCAUAUAGAAAUUGUAAAUUAGAGGUACUGUGAGCAGUGUUGGGUCAAAAAAAUGAUUAACCCAGACUUAAAUUAAAUAAAAGCAAGACAUUAUAAUUGUUUUGAUAUAAAAUAUUUGCUAAUACAUUUAUGAGAAUAUCUUUGGUGCUUUUGGAGCAUUUUUAUCUAUUCACAAUUUAUUACUUGUGUAUAUAUGUCAUCAGGAUUAGUAGAAACAUACACAUGACAAAGUGUAAAUGAAAAAGGAGAAGCUCUCCAAGAGUACCCAAGAUUUUUUCUACAUUUUGAAAAUCAUGUGCAAUAUACUCAUUAUCAAUACUAUUAAGUACAUCCUUUUCUACGUAAACAACAAAAUUAACAUUCAUUCAUUCAUCUCUCAUCCAAUUUCAACGUUGACUCUUCAUGAACUUAAUUGCUGAAAACGUUCUCUCUACUGUGGCUAUGGGAAUCGAAAAAAUUAUAGUUAAGUGUCACCAACGAAUACAUUAAUACUGUAAUGGAUAUUCUUUAUCUUUUUUAGUCUCAAACUGUUCUUUUAGCAACUCAUUGAUUCCCUUCAUUCCUGCAAACCUGCCUAAUUGUUCUUUCCUAAUUUAACGCAAGCCCUAAUUUUCUGUUCUUUUUAGAACAAGAAAGAUAAAAUUUGUGAUUGGAGGAGUGGCUAAUUAUUAUUUUUAAUAAAAUUGAAUCUAUUUUUUUGAAAUAGAAAAAUGUUUUGGGUUGUGGGUUAUUAUUAUUUUUAAAUAAAGCGUGACUUUAAAAGUUCAAGUUAAAAUUUAAAUUUUGUAGGUUUAUGAAUGUAUAGAGGCUAUUUUAAUAGAUUGAUGAAGGUUAAUUAGAAACCGAAAUGAUUUUUUCUUUUAAUUUUUUUUUUGUCUUUAACAUGCUAAAUCCACCACUCCUACCGAUAAGAAUUGGGAUGAUUUAUUUUUAUCUUAAUGAUCAUAAUAAAAAUCUUUUAAAAAUUUUACUAUUUUAUCAAAAUUAUUAUUUAAAAAUUAUAUUUACCCCAAUUUUUUUUUUAACUACAAUAUUUUUUUUUCACCACACGACUGUAACUUUUAAUAUAACUUAGGUUAUCAAAAUUUUGAGCUUCAUUCAACCAACCAUAACUAUCAUGAUCAAAGUCUACGUUGCUUAAGUCAAGAAGGACUUUAAUGGGAGGGAGAUAAUUAUUAUUAUCGACAUUACAAAUGGACCCCAAUUAUAUCUAAAGUCUUUGGGCUCCUGUCUCGUUUUCUUCUUCUUUUUCAAAACCCUAUUUACUAACCAUUAAUUUGGUUGGUUGAUGAAUCCGGCCGUUUCUGAUUUUCUUAUUUAUUUUGAUGGGAGUGACCCCCUAACGAUGGCAUCGCAAUCUCAUGAAAAAAAAUUUCCAAACGCAUGAAAAUUGGACACCCGUCAACAAAAAUCUUUUUGUUACAGUAUUUACUGUACUUUCAAAAAUUUGAACAUGACAAAAAUUAAGUAAUCUACUUAUUAUAAUAAUCUAUGACCAAAAAUAUUGAACAUGUAUUUUUUUUUUUUGUAAUUAUACACGCACAUCACUCUUUUACGAUUAAUUGACUAAACUUGUAUGAUAAACGAUUUUAUAAUGGAUUGUCUCAUAAUCUAAAUUUAUCAAAUAUCUUAAUGGUGAGACUAUUUGAAUUGAAUCCAUAAAAUUCUUUUAAAAUUUUCUUUACAACUUAUAACAUACUUUUCAGAAAGUCUGUCGAGUACUAAUUCAGAAAUUUAUUUCAAUAUAUAUCAAGAAAAAUUAUUUGGUUAAGAGAAAUGAGCCCCUUUGAAAAUUUGAGUUGGUGAAGCAUGAGCUCAUCAUUAGUCAACCCAUCAAAUUAUUCAAGAAACACAUUUGCCCCACACAUCCAUAAUUAAUUAAAAGGAUGGAAUUAUUUGAACUUAUUAAAUUUCUCUUAAGAUCCAUUUAUUUAAUAUAUCCUCUGUCAAAAUCUUAAAAUUAAAUUUUAACUCUAUAAACCUCUUAAUACCCCACAAAUAACCGUUUUAUGGUUGGUGCAAUAAUUUAGAUAAUUAAAUUAUUUAUUAUUUUGGUAAUUUUUAUUUAAGAUUAUUUUUGUAAUAUAAAUUUUUAUUUAAAAUAGGUCUAAGGUGCAUUUUUAUGGGGGCCCAAAUGACCUUAAAAUUAGAAAAAGUUAAAUUUUACCAUAUAAAAGUAAAACCUCUUGUAAUUCCUAAAGUAUCCUUGAUUAGAUUUCUUUUUUUAAUUUUAAUAUUUUCUCUCUUCUAUAGAAGUUGCUAUAUCCUUUCUUGGUAAGAUGCUCUGUUCAGGCUUCCAUGUAUUUGGCUUGAAUUGGCAACUUAACUCGAAUCAAUUCGGUUUAUGCCUUUGAUCAAACUCAUUUCGCCUCUCCAAGAAUCUGCAAAAUUAAUUGGUAUUAUCAUGUCGGUGCUGCUUAUAAUUGGCAGUGCUUGCAUUGCCCUGAAUCCAGGCGUUGCUCGAGUAUAGUUGGGCUUCCUUAUUCAUUUUAGUGACAGAUGAAAACAUUAAAAAAAAAAAUCAGGACUUGUUUGUCAAAAUUUACAGAUAUUUUGUUCUUUAAUUAAUUUUAUUGUUACAAACAAUAGGAUAGCAGUGUCGUUGAACCAGUUGCUUACACCUGGGGCAACAUAGUUUUUUUUUUUUUUUUUAGUUUGUGAGAUGGCCAAUAUCUGUGUAUAUAUAUAUAUAUAUGGAUCCCCCUAUCUUACAUGCAUGUAAGAUACAUCCCUCUCACAUGAAUAGUGUAUGGACCCCACACAUGCACAAUUCAUGUGAGGGGGAUAUAUCUUACAUGCAUGUAAGAUAGAGAUGUAUCUUACAUGUGAGGGGGAUGUAUCUUACAUGCAUGUAAGAUAGGAAUUACCAUAUAUAUAUAUAUAAUUAUUGACUCAAUGUGUAAAAGGUACCAAUAUUGACUCAAUGUGUCAAAUUUCUUGAAAAGUUUAACAUCAAAUGCCUUUUUUCCACUGUUGUUAGUAUAAGUCAAACGGCCCACCCUUCUGUCCUUCACAUGUUCUGCGUUCCCCAUGUUCACAUUUUACAAUAUUAAAUAGAGAAUUUUGAGUCCAGAAGCAAUGACUUUCUGGUCAGUCCCCUCCAAGAUGGAUUAUCAGUAAUGGUGUUUAAUUAUAUUUAUUUAAUUUGUUAGAGAGAGCUCUACGUCUAUAGAGUAUAACAAAUGGAUGUAUUUAUGUUUUCCUUCAUCUGUUGUAAGUUACUGUUUUUCUUGUCUGAAUCCUCUUUCGCUUCCGACACCAUUACUUCAUCUCAGUCCCUCAGUGAUGGCAGGACCUUAGUUUCAAAAGAUGGAAGCUUUGAGCUUGGUUUCUUCAGUCCUGGUAGUUCCAAGAAUCGUUACGUGGGAAUUUGGUACAAAAAUAUGCCAGUUGUUAAGGAAGCUUACAGUGUACAAAAGGGAGUUGCAUAUUGAGCACGUGUGUGUCAAUGAUGAGUCAUCAGUUAGUUGAGUAAAGAAGCCAGCUCAACAAAUCUGUUAAUCAUGUUUUACGUUCUGUUCUUCAAUUGUUAGUAAUGCUUUAAUUCUGUUGAGAUUUGUGAGUUAGUAUAAAUAAGGUUGUGAUUGUAUUUGUAAUUAAUAACGUGAGAUUCAAUAAAAGUAAAUAGUUUCUAAGAAAAUCUUAUCAUCAUUUUCUUAGCUUCCAAACAACUUUUACAGUCACGAUCCAACUUUCAAACAUGGUAUCAAAGCCAGUAAGAGCAAGCUCUAGUACUCAGCAAACAAAUCAACAAAGUCAAAUAAAUUUUUCUUUCAACACUCCAAUUACACUAGAUCGAUCAAACUAUCUACUUUGGCGUUUUCAAGUUUUAGCUUCCAUAAGAGGCAAUCGAUUGGAAGGCUUCAUCAAUGGAACAAAACCAGCACCUGAAGAACAGUUCACUCAAGUUGGAGCUGAUGGAUCUAUUCAGAAAAUUGAUAAUCCAGAAUAUCAGAAUUGGAGAUCACAGGAUCAAACAUUGUUUGGAUGGAUGCUAUCAUCAAUAAGUGAAGGUACUCUAAACCUUGUCAUAAAUUGUGGUAGCUCGUUUGAUGUUUGGAGAACUUUAGAAAAGAAAUUUGGUGUGCAAUCUGAAGCUAGGGUUUUUCAACUUAGAUAUGAGUUAAAUACUCUUAGGAAGGAAUCAAUGAGUAUUGAAGAUUACUGCAUCAAAAUGAAAACUGUAGCAGAUAAACUUGCUAGUGCUGGAAGUCCUAUAACAGAGAAAGAUCUCAUGCUGACAAUUCUUAAUAGCUUAGGAGCAGGCUAUCGUGAUAUUGCUAGGGCUUUAUAACUGGUUCAAAAAUGGACUAUGAUGAUGCUUAUGCAUUAUUAUUAACUCAUGAAACCAGACUUGAACAAGAGCAGAAUGAUAAAAGCAUGUUUAAUGCAAAUUAUGCUUAUACAAAUGCCUAUUAUCCAAGGGCAUUCUAUGCUCAAUCAAGAAAUAAUUUUAGAAGAGGAGGACAUGCUGGUGCUCAGUUUGGCAAUAAUGGUAGAAAUCAUACUGCUAGAAGAGGAAAUAUUUUUCAGUCUCCAAGGAUGUUUAAUGGCAAUCACAGAGGUGGAUAUGGAAGAGGACACUCAUUUGGCCCAAAUAAUGUUAACUCCUUUCAUGCACUUAGGAAUUCAAUGCAAUUCACUCGGACUGGAGUUACUAAUAUGAAUGGACCUCAAGGAAUUCCAAGCAAUGCAGAAGAAUUGGUUUGCCAGAUUUGCUUUAAGCCUGGUCACACUGCUGAUAUUUGCUGGCAUCGAUUUGUGGAGGAUUAUGUCCCUUAUUCAAGGAGUCUAGGCAGAGGAAAAGGACCAAGAUCAGCAUAUAUUGCUAAUUUUGAUGGCUUUACAUAUCCAUAUCAAGGUUAUGAUAACUAUGAUAAUCAUCCUGCAUCUGAGACAAGCUGCUAUUCUGGAAUUGAUAACUAUGCACUUGCAGAAGCUUAUGUGGCUAAUUUUGAAAGCUUUGCUGAUGAUGGCUGGUAUUUGGAUAAUAGGGCAACUCAUCACUUGACCAACAACAUGGAGAACUUGCAUUUUAAGGAAGACUACAAAGGUACUGAUCAACUCAUUAUUGGAAAUGGUCAAGGUCUGUCAAUUUCCCAUAUUGGUCAUGCAUUUUUAUCAUUUAGAGCUUCAAAACAUCCUUACACACAUGCCUCCACUAUAACACUUAAAGAUAUGUUGCUUGUUCCUACAAUCACUAAGAAUUUACUAAGCAUCUCCAAACUUACAUCUGAUAAUUCACUCUCUGUUGAAUUUUGUGGAAAUGUUUGUUAUGUUAAGGACAUGAAGGGGCAAGUUCUUCUGCAGGGCCUUGCUGAGAAAGGUCUUUACAAGCUGUUGAUGAAAUCUUCUUCCAUGUCAUCUUUUGCUUAUCACGCAUCACCUGCCUUUCAUCUUUCUCAACUUCAGUCACAUAAACCAAUAUCCAUGCUGUCAUGCUCAAAUGUGUCUUCUAUUUCUCAUCAUUGUAAUUCCUUUGAUAAGACUUGUUUCAGCUCAAUUUCAAAUAAGUGUAACCAGAAACAUGAUGAACUUACCUUGUUACACAAAAAGUUUGGUCAUCCAAGCUCAACAGUAUUGAUGCAUUUUCUUAAGACUUGUAAACCAGUUAAAGUCUCUCAAAAAUCAAUUUUAUCUCCUGAGCAUUCUAUGUGUGAAGCAUGUCAAUUAGGAAAAGCUCACAAGCAACAUUUUUCUACAACCGAAACCAAAACAACUCAAGUAUUAGAACUGAUACAUACUGAUCUAUGGGGGCCUUCACCUACUACAUAUAGAAAUGGUUUCAAAUACUACAUUAGCUUUGUAGAUGAUUACAGUAGGUAUACCUGAAUUUACCCACUCAAACUCAAAUAAGAAGCUUUUGAAGUCUUUAUAUUAUUCAAAAUCCAAGUAGAGAAUCAGUUCAAUACCAAAGUCAAGAUGCUGCAAUCUGACUGGGAGGGGAGAAUACAUAGUUUUUACUAACUUCUUAAACCAGAAUGGGAUCAUUUUCAGACAUUCAUGCCCUUACACACAUCAUCAAAAUGGUCUAGUAGAAAGAAAACAUAGACAUAUAAUUGAGUUAGCUUUGACUCUCUUAGCUCAAGCUAAUCUUCCUUUUAAAUUCUGGUGGGAAGCUGUUCAUACAGCAGUAUAUCACAUAAAUAGAUUACCAACACCUGUAUUGAAACUCUUAUCUCCAUAUGAGAAGCUCUUUAAGCAUAAACCAGAUUACAGCCUCCUUAAAUGCUUUGGUUGUCUUUGUUAUCCGUACUUGAGGGAUUUUAACAAAAAUAAAUUUGACUUUCAUACCAGCAAGUGCAUCUUUAUUGGUUAUAGCUCAUCUCAUAAGGGAUAUAAAUGUCUCACAAGCUCAGGUCGAGUUCAUAUCCUUAGACAUGUUUUUUAUGAAAGUGUAUUUCCAUAUACAACAUUCUCUGUUCCUUCUUCAUUUGAAAAUGUUGCCAACUCAGAAACACCAGUGUCAAAUUUCUCUAAACAGCAAGUCUAUCAUCUUUCAACUCUACCCUUAUUCAACAGCAGCUUUGAAGAUACUUACUCAGUAGGUGUACCAAGUGAUGAACAGAGUCCUGUUGUGCCUGAGCAUACAAAUAAUUUGAAUCAACAAGAAUCAUCCAAUUAUUCUUUAUCAAAACUAUCAAUAUCACAAGUUAUCCCUCAAAUCCCUGAAUAUACUCAAACACAACUUGAACCACAAACAAGCAAUCAACAACACUCUGAAAAUAAUCCAAACAGAAUUCAGAUCUCACAACCUACACACAAAAUGAUUACCAGAUCAAAGUCUGGAAUAUUCAAGCCUAAGUUGUAUACAACCACUUUGAUCAACAAAGAACCUGACACAAUUCAAGAAGCUCUGAAUGAUAAAAACUGGUAUAAGGCCAUGAAAGAGGAAUAUGAAGCUUUGAUCAGGAAUAAGACUUGGUCUCUUGUACCACCUCCAGCUGAAUACAAAAUAGUUGGAAACAAAUGGGUGUUCAGGGUUAAACAAAAUAGUGAUGGCAGUAUAGCAAAGUACAAGCUAGAUUGGUUGUUAAAGGUUUCCAACAAACUGAAGGGAUUGACUAUUUCCAAACUUUUAGCCUUGUUAUAAAGGCUUCCACAGUGAGGGUUAUAUUAAGCUUGGCUGCAAUGCAUAGUUGGAUGAUCAGACAGGUAGAUGUCAAUAAUGCUUUUCUGAAUGGUGACUUAACAGAAGAUGUCUACAUGUAUCAGCCUGAAGGUUUUGUUGAUGAGAAGAGAUCAGGUUAUGUAUGUAAGUUGAAGAAGGCUUUAUAUGGUUUGAAACAAGCUCCCAGAGCUUGGUUUGAUAAACUAAAAGGUUGUUUGGUUGCAAACUGGGGAUUUCAAAAUUCCAGAGCUGGAAAUCAAUUACAUUCCCAGUGAAGAACAGAUUGCAGACAUCUUGACCAAGCCUCUCACAUUCACUCAAUUCAAUUAUCUCAGGAGCAAACUUAAUGUGCAGCCAUGCCCCUUAAGUUUGAGGGGGGCUGUUAAGGAAGCUCACAGUGUACAAAAGGGAGUUGCAAAUUGAGCACGUGUGUGUCAAUGAUGAGUUAGCAGUUAGUUGAGUAAAGAAGCCAGCUCAGCAAAUCUGUUAAUAAUGUUUUACGUUCUGUUCUUCAGUUGUUAGUAAUGCUUUAAUUCUGUUGAGAUUUGUGAGUUAGUAUAAAUAAGGUUGUGAUUGUAUUUGUAAUUAAUAACGUGAGAUUCAAUAAAAGUAAAUAGUUUCUAAGAAAAUCUUAUCAUCAUUUUCUUAGCUUCCAAAGAACUUUUACAGUCACGAUCCAACUUUCCAACACCAGUUAAAACUGUUGUUUGGGUUACAAACAGAAUCAACCCCAUUAAUGACUCUUCUGGGUUGUUAGUUGUAAACGAGACGGGCAAUCUUGUUUUAACAAGCUAGAACAAGAGUGUAGUUUGGUCAGCAAACUUGAGCAAAGAAGUCCAGACUCCAGUUGUAUUGCAGCUACUAGAUUCAGGAAAUCUUGUCCUCAGAGGUGAACGAGAUGGCAGUUCUGAAACUUAUUUAUGGCAAAGCUUUGAUUAUCCUUCUAAUACAUUGCUACCGAGAAUGAAGCUCGGAUGGGAUUUGAAGACUGGUCUUGAGCGGCGUAUAACAUCAUGGAAGAGCCCAGACGACCCGUCUCCUGGAAACUUUACUUGGGCAGUUGAACGACAAGAUAAUCCUGAGUUAAUAAUGUGGAAGGGAUCAAGAAAGUUUCACAGGGGUGGCCCAUGGAAUGGCCUUGUCUUUAAUGAGGAUGAGCUGUACUACACCUUCGACAUGAUAGAUAAAGAUGUUUUCUCAAGGAUUGUUAUGAACCAAACACUCUAUGUACGUCAGCAAUUCACAUGGGAUAAAGCAACUCAAAGUUGGGAAUUGUAUGCAAAUGUGCCAAGAGAUCUAUGUGACACUUGUGCCCUUUGUGGUGCCUAUGGCAUUUGCAUCAUUAGCGAUACGCCUUUUUGCCAAUGUUUAAAAGGUUUUAAACCAAAGUCAAGGGGAUAUGUGGACUGGUCUCAAGGGUGUGUGCGCGAUAAGUCGUUAAACUACUCUACACAAGAUGGCUUUAUCAAGUUCAUUGAGCUGAAGUUGCCAGAUGCUACUUCUUCUUAGGUGAGCAAAAGUAUGAAUCUCUAUGAAUGCCAGGAUAAAUGCUUAGACAACUCUUCUUGUAUGGCAUACACAAAUUCAGAUAUCAGAGGAGAAGGCAGUGGUUGUGCCAUGUGGUUUGGCGAUCUGAUUGACAUGCGAAGAUUUCCAGAUGCUGGGUAGGACUUUUAUAUUUGAAUGUCUGCGUCAGAGCUAGGUAUCCGUUUACUUGUUUUAGUUACUCCAUUAUGAGAACUUAGGAGUGCCACUCCAGUUAGAUUAGUUCCAUAUUUUUAUUGUGUAAUUUAGUAAUGAGUUCAAAUUAAGAUGCUCCUUUCACAAAAAGCAGUUUCUGGGUAUGGCUUCUGUGCAUAGAAUUCUGCUGCUAUUUGAAUCAUUUUUUCUUAGCUAUAUGAUUAUUGACUUGCUUUGCUAUAUCUGAAUAUACUGAUCAAGGAGUGAAAGGUGAGCCUAGGACGAAGAUAGUGGUGAUAGUCAUUUCUACUACUGCUCUGUUAGCUGCGGUGCUUAUAGCUGGCUACUUGGUUCACAAAAGAAGGAGAAAUAUAGUGGGUAUAAUAUUGCUCCAUUUUCCUUCACAAAUUUUCGUUGACGAUUUGAUGCAGGAAAAUCAAACUCUUAUAAAUAUUAAAUUUACAACAGUCGAUUAAGUUUAUAUAUGCGACAAUAACUGUAUGUUUGUUUCAAGAUGAAGAGUUAACAGUGCAUAUCAUUUAGAUCAGCGGCAGGGCAAUUAAACUUGCAUUUAGUGUUAUAUCAAUACACGCCUCUUUUUCACCUAUGGUUCUUUAUUUACUUGCACUUUCAUAUUGACUGGAAAAUAACUUUAAUACAAAUUUACAGAUAAAGAACCUUAUCAUCAAGAACAUGAAAAUUGUAGUUACUAGUUAGUAGUUUAAUAUUGUCCAGUAUACACACUGCAUAUGUGCUUUUAGUUAAUAUUAUCCAAUAUUUCAGAGAAAACAAAAAAGGCUUGAGUUAGCUAGCACUGUUUGAGUUAGCUACAAUUGCUAAUGCCACCAAUAACUUUUCAAUCAACAACAAGCUUGCAGAAGGUGGCUUUGGACCAGUUUACAAGGUAAACUUGAAAGCUGCAAGUCAAGAAUACUUAUUUUACUGAUAACUAAAUUUGCAUAUAUCUUCCCAGGGCACCCUAGUGGAUGGACAGGAAAUUGCGGUAAAAAGGCUUUCGAAGAUUUCUGAGCAAGGAUUGAAGGAGUUAAAGAAUGAAGUUAUACUAUUUUCCAAAUUACAGCACAGAAAUCUGGUAAAGUUUCUUGGCUGCUGCAUUCAAGGAGAGGAGAAAUUGUUGAUUUAUGAAUUCAUGCCCAACAAAAGCCUGAACUCUUUCAUUUUUGGUCUAGGUCCCUGUAACCUUAAAAUAUUCGGCUAGCUUGUGCCUUGAUUAUAGACGUUUCUUAUGUAUUUUCAGAAAAUUUUGUGCUAACCUUAAUGUGGUAAUUUGUAGAUCAAGAAAGAUGUAAGAUAUUGGAUUGGCCCAAGCGUUUCCACAUUAUUUGUGGGACUGCUAGGGGUGUUAUGUACCUUCAUCAAGAUUCUAGAUUGAGGAUUAUACAUCGAGAUCUCAAAGCAAGUAAUGUGCUACUCAAUCAAGAUAUGAACCCAAAAAUUUCAGAUUUUGGUUUGGCAAGAGCUUUUGGUGGAGACGAAAUAGAAGGAAACACAAACAGAGUGAUUGGAACAUAGUAAGUACUUCUUGUCAUGUGAUCUUUUCGAUUCACUUGUACUGAUUAAUGAAAAUUAACUUAUAUAUUUUAAUCUUUUGAAGUGGUUAUAUGGCACCGGAAUACGCUAGUGAUGGGAAAUUCUCAGUAAAAUCCGAUGUCUUCAGCUUUGGAAUUUUAUUGUUGGAGAUAAUAAGUGGAAAGAAAAAUAGAGGAUUUUAUCAUUCCGACAACAAGCUUAACCUUAUAGGACAUGUAAGUAAAAUGCAUACGACUUUUUCUAACAUAGUUUGAACUAAUAAACUAUAGAUGAUAAAAGAGUUUUAAUAUGUUGUAGGCAUGGAAGUUGCGGAACGAAGGCAUGCCUUCACAAUUAAUCGAUCCGUGUAUUCAAGGCUCAUUCAAUCUUGCUGAAGUGAUAUGAUGCAUCCACAUCGGUUUGUUAUGCGUGGAACAGCAUCCAAAGGAUAGGCCAAGCAUGCCCUCAGUGAUUUUGAUGUUGGUCAGCAACUGUGUUGCCUCAGCCAAAGCAACCUGGUUACUUGGCGGACAGGAAAUCUACCAGACAAGAUUAUUCAUCAAGCACGCCUGAAUCAUGUUCAACUAAUACAAUUACGAUCUCUGAGUUGGAGGGUCGGUAGAGAAUUUAUUUGUGGUAUCAUGCCUUAUUCUACAUUGUCAAGCGGAAAAGCGGUAAUAUGUCAACCAAAUGGAAGGUUAAGAUAAAUGAUUGGAUAAAAAAUGAUGAGGAUCAUGAAAUACUAACUAGGCAACCCAAGAGGGGGGGUGAAUUGGGAUUUUAAAAUUUAAGCUAAGCAAACCACACAACAAUUUAAUCUAUUGCCUUAAUCAAAUUGAAAACAAUAAAUUCAAUCAUGCACAAUAUUAAAAGAGUAAGGGAAGAGAAAACAAACACAAUGAUUUUUACGUGGUUCGGCAAUCCCCGUCUACGUCCACGCCUCCAAGCUCACCGGGCUUGAGGAUUUCACUAAGCUAGCCUCCCAAGGCUUCAAACGCUUACAAUUGACUUCCAAGGUGUCAAUGGACCUUUACAACAAGAGAUUAUCCCCAAUCUCUUAACCCAAGUGUAUCCCAACACUUACAAUCUCUUAACUUGAUUUUACAAAAAAGAUUACAAAUGAAUCUCUCUCACACAAUGUGUUUGAUCACAAGUGAAAGCUCAAUGUGUGAAUGAAUGAGAUGAAUACAAAGAUUUAAAGCUCAAUGAAAGUUGUAUUCUCAAUAUUUUGCUCAAUGAUGAUCGUUAGAAUGAUUCUUGUUUGAAUUGGAUUGAGCUUAUUUAUAGUUGGAGCUGAAAACUAGUCGUUAUUGACUUUCUGCACACUGUCGGAUCGCCGCUAACUAGAUGUCGGAUCGCCGUUUGACUGGUCAAUAUGACCGUUGGGCUGAUAUUUCAAAUUGUCGGAUCGCCGUUAUCUAGAUGUCGGAUCGCCGUUAUCUAGAUGUCGGAUCACCGUUUAGGUCCAGAGGCUAAUCUUCAGUUCUGUUAGAUAUCGGCGAGCCAUUUAUCAAAAUUGUCGGAUCGCCGUUUAGGUCCAGAGACUAAUCUUCAAUUCUGUUAGAUGUCGGCGAGCCGUUAUCAAGAUGUCGGAUCGCCGUUUUCUACAGUAACUGCUACAGUGAAAUAUUUUCUAAAUUUAUAGUUUGACCCCAAAACUUUAUAAAACUGUGUUACGGCCCAAAACGUUAUAAAACUUUGCAAAUAGGUCCAAUUUUAGAAUUUCUAAGUAAUGCUUUGUUAAUCCCAAAACUUUCUGAAAUUAUGGUAUAGCCCAAAAUGCUAUGACACUUUUCAAAUAAGUCAUUCUCCAAAAUUUCAAGCAAUACUUGUUUAUUUCAAAGUUUUCAAAAUUCUUUCAAUUAAACCAUAAACUUUGAAAAACAACCAAUUUCAUAAAAUCAUUUUUCCAUUAAAUAUGAAACAUUUAUAAUGUGAAAAUAAUGAUUUAUUUAAAAAGAAUAAAAACAAUCAAUUUCAUAAAAUCAUUUUUCCAUUAAAUAUAAAACCUUUAAAAUGUGAAAAUAAUGAUUUAUUUAAAAUGUAUAAAAAAUAAUUUGAUCUUAAAAGAUUAAUCAUUCUUAAUCUUGUUUGUUAUCAUCAAAAUCAAUAUUAUGGAAACAUAUAUGUUAACAGAUCAUCCAGUGAAUGCAUGUUGUGGAUCUAAAAGUUCAGAGGAUAGGCCAAUUUUGCAGCUGACUACUUUGCUAAAAAUGCAGGCUCUAUACCUCUCGGAUUUCAUGUUUAUCAAGAACCUCCUGUAGGUCAUGAAUCUUGGCUUUGUUAUGAUAUGUAUGGGACAAUGAUUCCCCGCUCGAUUGUGUCUUAGCUUGGCUAAGCCUUUUUUUGGUUAAAAAAAAAUGGAAUGUAGACUAAUGUUCAUAUAGAAAUUGUAAAUUAGAGGUACUGUGAGCAAUGUUGGGUUCAAAAAAUGAUUAACCGAGAAUUAAAUUAAAUAAAAGCAAGACGUUAUAAUUUUUUUGAUAUAAAGUAUUUACUAAUACAUUUAUGAGAAUAUCUUUGGUGCUUUUGGAGCAUUUUUAUCUAUUCACAAUUUAUCACUUGUGUAUAUAUGUCAUCAUGAUUAGUAGAAGCAUACACAUGACAAAGAGUAAAUGAAAAAGGAGAAGCUCUCCAAUAGUACCCAAAAUUUUUCCUACAUUUUGAAAACCAUGUGCAAUAUACUCAUUAUCAAUACUAUUAAGUACAUCCUUUUCUACAUAAAUACCAAAAUUAAUAUUCAUCCAUUCAUCUCUCAUCCAAUUUCAGCGUUAAUUCUUCACGAACUUAUUUGCUGAAAACGUUCUCUCUACAGUGGUUGUGGGAACCGAAAGAAUUAUAGCUAAGUGUCACCAACAAAUAUAUUAAUAUUGUAAUGGAUAUUCUUUAUCUUUUUUUGUCUUAAACUAUUCUUUUAGCAACUUAUUGAUUCCCUUCAUUCCGACAAACCUGCCUAAUUGUUCUUUCCUAAUUUAACCCAAGCCCUAAUUUUCUUUUUAGAACAAGAAAGAUAAAAUUUGUGAUUGGAGGAGUGGCUAAUUAUUAUUUUUAAUAAAUUUGAAUCUAUUUUCUGAAAUAGAAAAAUGUUUUGGGUUGUGGUUAUUAUUAUUUUUAAAUAAAGCGUGAGUUUAAAAGUUCAAGUUAAAAUUUAAAUUUUGUAGGUUUAUGAAUGUAUAGAGGCUAUUUUAAUAGGUUGAUGAAGGUUAAUUAGAAACCCAAAUGAUUUUUUCUUUUAUUUUGUAUUUUUGUCUUUCACAUGCUAAAUCCACCACUCCUACCGAUGAUUUAUUUUUAUUCUAAUGAUCAUAAUAAAAAUCUUUUAAAAAUUUUACUAUUUUAUCAAAAUUAUAUUUGCCCCAACUUUUUUUUAACUACAAUAUUUUUUUUUCACCACAACCGUAACUUUUAAUAUAACUUAGGUUAUCAAAAUUUUGAGCUUCAUUCAACCAACCAUAACUAUCAUGAUCAAAGUCUACGUUGCUUGACUUUCAUUCAAAACCGGGGGGAUAUGUGGACUGGUCUCAAGGGUGUGUCCGUAAUAAGCCAUUGAAUUACUCAAGAAAAGAUGGUUUUAUCAAGUUUUCUGACCUCAAAUUGCCAGAUUCUACUUCAUCUUGGGUGAGCAAAAGUAUGAAUCUCAAGGAAUGUAGGGAGAAAUGCUUAGAAAACUCUUCUUGUAUGGCUUACACAAAUUCGGAUAUCACUAGAGGCGGCAGUACUGUGUUAUGUGGUUUGGUGAUCUGAUUGACAUCAGAUACUUCCAAAAUGGUGGGCAGGACUUGUAUAUUCGAAUGUCUGCUUCAGAGCUAGGUAUCCGUAUACUUAUUUAUGUCAUUCCAUUAUGAGAACUUGGGAGUACCACACUAGUUAGACUAGUUCCACAUUUUUAUUGUGCAAUUUAGUAUUGAGUUCUGAUUGAGAAGCUCCUUUCUCAUAAAGCAUUUUCUGGGUAUAGCUUCUAUGCAUAGAAUUUUGCUGCUAUUUGAAUCCUUUUUUUCAUAUCUAUAUGAUUAUUGACUCGCUCUGCUAUAUCAGAAUAUGCUGAUCAAGGAGCGAAAGUUUGACAUCAUUUCUUAAUCCUAGUGUCCAUCUCGAUCGUUUUGAUGGAACUAAUUUCACUCGUUGGAAAGGAAAAUUAUUUUUUCUCCUUACUGUUCUUAAAGUAGCAUAUGUUCUUGAUCCGAAAUUGGAACCAUUUCCAGAACCAAGAGAAGAUGAUACCGAAGUUGUUAAGGCUGCAAGGAAACGUCGUGAAGAUGAUGAAUUGAUGUGCCGGGGUCACAUACUCAAUACGCUUUCUGACAGGUUAUAUGAUCUCUACAAUUCUAUGACUUCUCCGAUGGAAAUUUGGAAUGCUCUUGAGUACAAAUACAAAACGGAGAAAGAAGGUACUGACAAAUUCCUUGUCUCUAAAUAUUUUGAAUUUAUUAUGGUAGACACAAAAUCCAUUCUUGAUCAAAUACAUGGGUUACAAAUUAUUGUUGCUAAGCUUCGAGAGUUAAAGUUGAAAUUUCUGAAUCAUUUCAAGUUGGGGCUAUUAUUGCUAAAUUGCCUCAAAGUUGGAAUGAUUAUAGAAAGAAACUCCUUCAUAGUAAAGAGAACAUAACCUUAGAAGAAUUACAAAAACACUUGGUAAUCGAAGAAGAGACAAGGUCUCGCGAAUCCAAGGAUAAGCAUGAUUCUAAUAAGGUUAAUGUUGUUGAAGCUAGUAAAAUUUCAAAGAAUUUUAAAGUCAAGAAUGACAAGAAAUUCAAGAAGUCCAGCACACAAAAGUUUUCUGGAAAUUGUUUCUUUUGUGGCAAGAAAGGUCAUCGCCAAAGUGAUUGCAGAUUCAAGAAGAAAAAGGAAGAAGUGAAUUCCCAUAAAGCUAAUGUUAUUGAAAACAAAUCUGAAGAGAUUUGUGCUAUGGUUUCUGAAAAGCAAAUUGGCAUGAUUACCGAAACCAAUAUGGCUGAAACUAAGUCCUAUGAUUGGUGGCUCGAUUCGAGUGCAACAAUUCAUGUUUUUAAUUAUAAGAAAUUUUUCUUAUCAUACAAAGAAGAAACGGAAGGACAAAUGGUUCUCAUGGGGAACAAUAAUGUAGCCAUGGUAGCGGGGAAAGGAGUAGUUGAGAUCAACUUCACUUCUGAAAAGAAAGUUACAUUGUAUAAUGUCUUUCAUGUACCUUCCGUUAGGAAGAAUCUUAUUUCUGCUAGUUGUAUGUGUAAGCAUGGGCUUAAGAUUGUGCUUGAGGGUAAUACUUGUAUUAUCUCAAAGAAUAGAUUAUUUGUUGGGAAAGGGUAUUCUUGUGAUGGAAUGUACAAACUCAGCAUUAAUAAUAAUAAUAUCAACUUAGCUUAUAUUAUUGAGUCUUGUGAUGUUUGGCAUGCUAGAUUAGCACAUUUGAAUUUUAGAUCUUUGAAAUACAUGUCUAAGCAUGGUUUGACUAAUUGCAAUGAUGUUAAAGGUCAUAAGUGUGAAAUCUACAUCCAAGCUAAAUUAACUAAGAAACCUUUUCCUAAAGCCGAACAAAAUACUCAAAUAUUGGAUUUAAUACAUACCGAUAUUUGUGAGUAUAAUGGCGUUUUAACAAGAGGAGGUAAGAGGUACUUUAUCACUUUUAUUGAUGAUUGUUCUAGAUACACUUACGUGUAUUUACUUAGAACAAAAAAUGAAGCUUUUGAUAAAUUUAAAAUUUUCAAAGCUGAAGUUGAGAACCAAAAAGAUAAGAAAAUCAAAAUGGUUCGUAGUGAUAGAAGUGGUGAAUAUUUCUGAAUUGAAUUUAAUAAUUAUUGUGAAGAAUUUGGAAUUAUUCACCAAAGAUCAGCUCCAUUUACUCCUCAACAAAAUGGUUUGGCUGAAAGGAAGAAUAAGAUCUUCACGGAUAUGAUAAAUUCCAUGAUCCUUAAUGCAAAACUACCAAAUAAUUUGUGGGGGGAAGCAUUACUCACUGCAUGUCAUAUUCAUAACAGAAUUACAUCUUUGAAAACACAUAUAUCUCCUUAUGAAAUUUGGAAAGGAAGAAAACCAAACUUGAUGUAUUUAAGGGUUUGGGGUUAUUUACCUUUUUAUAAAAUACAUGAUCUUAAAUCAUCAAAGUUAAGUGCUAGAGGUAUAAAGAGUGUUUUCGUAGGAUAUGCUGAAAAUUCCAAGGCUUAUAGGUUGUUAAUUCUAAUGUGAUUGUGGAAUCUAGAGAUGUUGAAUUUAUUGAGAAUAAAUUUCAACAUGAUUCUAAUAUUGAAUUAGAAUCAAUUAUUGAUCAACCAUGUGUUAAUACUUCUGUUACCUCCAUUAACAAUAAUAAAAGGAAAGAGUCUAUGACAUCUUUCGAACCAAUAAGGAGUCAACGUGAAAAGAAAGAAAAGAGUUUAGUUCCGGAUUUUAUUUCAUCACAAGCACUACUCUUCUUGGUUGAAGGGGAUAGAAAGAAUGUACUUAACAAAGUACCAUUGUUGUUAAAUAUUGAAAAAGAUCCAAAGACAUUUAGCGAAGCUAUGUCUUCUAGAGACGCUUCUUUUUGGAGAGAGGCGGUAAAUGAUGAAAUGGAUUCGAUUAUGUCGAAUCAAACAUGGGUCUUGGUUGAUCUUCCUCCAGGAUCUAAACCAAUUAGCAGCAAAUGGGUAUUUAGAAGAAAGUACAAUAGUGAUGGUUUUUUGCAAACUUGUAAGGCUAGAUUAGUAGCCAAAAGGUUUAAGCAAAGAAAUGGUAUUGAUUAUUUCGAUACAUAUGCUCCGGUAGCAAGGUUAACUUCUAUAAGAGUGCUAUUUGCAAUUGCUUCAUUGAACAAUUUGUAUGUGCAUCAAAUGGAUGUUAAAACCGUUUUUCUUAAUGGUGAUCUUGAGGAAGAAAUCUAUGUGGAACAACCUGAGGGAUUUGUUUUGCCAAGAAAUGAGAAAAAGGUAUGCAAGUUAGUCGAAUCACUUUAUGGUUUAAAGCAAGCACCAAAACAAUGGCAUGAGAAAUUUGAUUAGGUAAUUUUAUCUCAUGGUUUUAAGCAUAAUAAUGCUGAUAAAUGUAUAUAUUUUAAAUUUACGAAUGAUUUUGGUGUGAUUAUAUGCUUGUAUGUUGAUGACUUGCUUAUCUUUGGAACAAAUAUGCAAGGAGUAAAUGAUACAAAGAAGUAUUUAACUUCACAAUUUAAGAUGAAAGAUCUUGGUGAAGUAGAUACUAUCUUAGGUGUCAAAGUGAAAAAACAUAGUGGGGGUUACUCGUUGUGUCAAUCUCAUUAUAUAGAAAAAGUGCUUCUUAAAUUCAAUUAUUUGAAAUUUAAAGAAGCUAAUACCCCAUAUGAUUCUAGUAUUAAAUUACUAGAGAAUUCAGGCCGAGUAGUAGCACAACUAGAAUAUGCUAGUGCUAUUGGUAGCUUGAUGUAUGCUAUGCAUUGUACGAGGCUUGAUAUAGCAUUUGCAGUUUGCAAAAUGUCAAGAUUCACGAGUAACCUUAGUGUUGAACACUGGAAAACAAUUGGUAGGAUACUUGGUUAUCUUAAAAGGACCAUUAAUUUGGGUUUUUUUUAUAAUGAUUAGCCUGAAGUACUGGAAGGAUAUUCAGAUGCUAGUUGGGUAACCAAUACAAAAGAUAAUAAAUCCACUUCUGGUUGAAUUUUUACAAUUGCUGGAGGAGCGGUUUCUUGGGCUUCAAAGAAACAAACAUGCAUAACUCAUUCAACAAUGGAAAGUGAGUUUAUAGCACUUGCAGCUGCAGGCAAGGAAGCAGAAUGGCUGAGAAAUUUGUUGUUUGAUAUAAUGUUGUGGCCACAACCGAUGCCAUCUAUUUCUUUGUACUGCGAUAGUGAAGCUACAUUGUCUAGAGCUUAUAAUAAAGUGUAUAAUGGAAAGUCUAGACAUAUUAGCUUGAGACAUGAAUAUAUGAAACAAUUAAUAGCAGAUGGUGUUAUUAAUAUUGUUUAUGUUAGGACUAAUAAGAACCUAGCGGAUCCUUUAACAAAAGGUCUUACAAGAGACUUAGUUAAGGAUACAUCUUUUGGAAUGAGAUUGAAACCUUUAAAUAAUAAAGUCACCAACGAUGGUAACCCAACUAUGUAGUAGUUGUACUGCUACUCCAUAGUUAAAUGGGUAAUAAUAAGUUGUUGUUAUGUGACUGGUUUGGUACCGAGUAAUAAAUAAUCACAUUCGAGAUAUUCUGUGCAAAUAGCUAUGAGGUUGAGGUUGAGUAUUUACUCUUAAUGAAGUUCAAGUCUUAUAGUAGCUAAAGACAUGAUUUGAAACUUCAACUAAGUGAACAUAAGAAAUGGUGUCGUUUCUAACAAGAUCGUAGUUUAAUCUUGUAAAUGUUCAUGAAUCCAAGAUAGAGCACAAGGCCGGAAUAGUGCUAAAUAUUGGAACACAACUUCGAAAUCUGGGACAGCUUAUAUGUGAUGUAUCUCUAGUAUUUACUUAAGAGACAAAGUUUAAUGCUUAGCACACUAUUGUCUUGUAAAUACUUUGAAAUACACUCACUAAUUAAAGGUUAAAAUCGAAAGAUACCUUUUUGUAUGUAUAAGUUCAUCAUUAAUAAAUCUAAAAAAUAUUACAAUCUAGUGGGGGAUUGUAAGAGAGAUUGUAACAUUUUUCAAUAUUUGGUUUGAUAUUCUGGAAGAAAACGGUUUGCCGUUUUUGGAGAAAACGGCUAACCGUUUAAUUCCAGAGAGUAUGUUUUCUGUUCUAGAGAAAACGACUAACCGUUUAGAGAAAACAACUAACCAUUUAUUUACAGAGAGCAACUUAUUUGACAUUCUGGAAUAAAACGGCUCGCCGUUAUUGAGAAAACGGCUAACCGUUUAUUUCCAGAGAUCGUGUUUUUGCGUCAAUGGGAAAAACGGUUAGCAAGCUUGAAAAUUUCAAUUGUCUAUCGAUGCAAAUUCAAAUCAAAAGAGUGUCUUUGAAGAAGUACCAUUUCUAAUGGUUGUAUUCUUUCAAAUAAACAUCUUCUUCAUUAAAAGAUAGACACACAAUUAGAUCAAAUCAAAUUUUACAGGUUUCAUAUAUGUUCUGGAAAUACAAUCUUAUUUGCUAGAGAUUGUAUUCAGGAUUUGAUAUAUCUUGGGGGUAAUUUGCCAUUAAAACUCUAUAGCAAACCAAGAUUAGUGAGGGCAAAUAAAACCUUAAAGGAAAGUGUGCAAACACGUCUCAAAUCCUAAGAAAUUUUCUUUGUUCUUUGCCUCCAUAUUCUUAAAAUUCACCAACAUUUAUGUCUUGGCAGGGCACGCAAUUGGAUGGGCAGGAAAUUGCUGUGAAGAGGCUUUCGAAGAUUUCUGAGCAAGGAUUGAAAGAGUUAAAGAAUGAAGUUAUACGAUUUUCCAAAUUACAGCACAGAAAUCUUGUAAAGUUUCUUGGCUGCUGUAUUCAGGGAGAGGAGAAAUUGUUGAUUUAUGAAUUCAUGCCCAACAAAAGCCUGGAAUCUUUCAUUUUUGGUCUGGGUCCCUAUAACCUUAAAAUAUUCGGCUAGCUUGUGCCUUGAUUAUAGACUUUUCUUAUGUAUUUUUAGAAAAUUUUGUACUAACAUUAAUGUGGUAAUUUGUAGAUCAAGAAAGAUGUAAGAUAUUGGAUUGGUCCAAGCGCUUCCACAUUAUUUGUGGGACUGCUAGGGGUCUUCUCUACCUUCAUCAAGAUUCUAGAUUGAGGAUUAUACAUCGAGAUCUCAAAGCAAGUAAUGUGCUACUCGAUCAUGAUAUGAACCCAAAAAUUUCAGAUUUUGGUUUGGCAAGAGCUUUUGGUGGAGAUGAGACAGAAGGAAAUACAUACAGGGUGGUUGGAACGUAGUAAGUAUUUCUCAUCAUGUGAUCUUUACAAUUCACUUGCACUGAUUAAUGAAAUUUAACUAAUAUAUUCUAAUCCUCUGAAGUGGUUAUAUGGCACCGGAAUACGCUAGUGCUGGACAAUUCUCAAUAAAAUCCGAUGUCUUCAGCUUUGGAAUUUUAUUGCUGGAGAUAGUAAGUGGAAAGAAAAAUAGAGGAUUUUAUCAUUCCGACAAAAUAGAGGAUUUUAUCAUUCCGACAACAAGCUUAACCCUAUAGGACAUGUAAGUAAAAUGCAUACGACAUUUUCUAACAUAGUUUGAACUAAUAAACUAUAGAUGAUAAAAGAGUUUUAAUAUGUUGUAGGCAUGGAAGUUGUGGAACGAAGGCAUGCCUUCACAAUUAAUCGAUCUGUGUAUUCAAGACUCAUUCAAUCUUGCUGAAGUGAUACGAUGCAUCCACAUCGGUUUGUUAUGCGUGCAACAGCAUCCAGAGGAUAGGCCAAGCAUGCCCUCAGAGAUUUUGAUGUUGGGCAGUGAGACUGUGUUGCCUCAGCCAAAGCAACCCGGUACCUUGGCUGACAGGAAAUCUACCAGACUAGAUUCUUCAUCAAGCAUGCCUGAAUCAUGUUCAACUAAUACAAUUACGAUCUCUGAGUUGGAGAGUCGGUAGAAAAUCUAUUUGUGGUAUCAAGCCUUAUUCUACAUUGUCAAGUGCAAAAGGAGUAAUGUCUCAACCAAAUGGAAAGUUCAGAUAAAUGAUUGGAUAAAAAAUGAUGAGGAUCCUCCAAUGAUUGCAUGUUGUGGAUUUAAAUAGAACGUAGACUAAUGUUUAUAUAGAAAUUGUAAAUUAGAGGUAACGUGAGCAGUGUUGGAUCCAAAAAAAAAAAAAAAUGAUUAACCGAGAAUUAAAUUAAAUAAAAGCAAGACGUUAUAAUUUUUUUAAUAUCAAAUAUUUGCUAAUACAUUUAUGAGAAUAUCUUUGGUGCUUUUGGAGUAUUUUUAUCUAUUUACUAUUUAUCACGUGUGUAUAUAUGUCAUCAUGAUUAGUAGAAGCAUACGCAUGACAAAUAGUAAAUAAAAAAGGAGAAGCUCUCCAAGAGUACCAAGAUUGUUCCUACAUUUUAAAAACCUUGUGGAAUAAACUCAUUAUCAAUACUAUUAAAUACAUCAUUUUCUACAUAAACAACAAAAUUAACAUUCAUCCAUUCUUCUCUCAUUCGAUUUCAGAGUUGAUUGUUCAUGAACUUAAUUGUUGAAAAUGUUCUCUCUACUGUAGUUGUGGGAACCGGAAGAAUUAAAUCUAAGUGUCACCAACAAAUAUAUUAAGUUUGUAACUGAUUGACUUUUAUCUUUUUUAGUCUCAAAGUAUUCUAUUUGCAAAUCACUAAUUCCCUUCAUUCUUACAAACCCACCUGCUUGUUCUUUUCCUAAUAUAACCCAAUCCCUAAUUUUCUUUUAAGAACAAGAAAGAUAAAUUUUGUGAUUGAAGGAGUGGAUAAUUAUUUUUUUUAAUAAAUUUGAAUAUAUUUUUUGCAAUAGAAAAAUGGCUGUGGGUUAUUAUUAUUCUUAAAUAAAGUGUCAGUUUUAUAAUUCAAGUUAAAAUUUAAAUUUUAUUGGUUUAUGAAUGUAUAGAGACUAUUUUAAUAUAUUGAUGAAGGUUAAUUAGAAGCCCAAAUAAUUCUCUCUUUUAUUUUUUUAUUUAUUUUUUAUUUUUUGGUAGCUUGAGACUAUUUUAUUUUUAUUUUUAUUUUUUUAAUUUUAAUAUUUACUCUCUGCUCAGAAGUUGCUGUAUCCUUUCUUUGCAACAUGCUCUGUUCAGGCUUCAAUGUUGUUGGCUUGAAUUGGCAACUGAACUCGAAUCAAUUCUCAUGCAUGGGUUGGGGAAUUUGCUCAACUUAUAAUCGGUAGGUUUAUGCCUCUGAAUUCAGGCAUUGCUUGAGUAGAGUUGGGCUUGCUGAUUCAUUUUAGUGACAAAUGAAAACAUUAAAAAAAAAAUCAGGACUUGUUCGUCAAAAUUUACAGAUAUUUUGUUCUUUAAUUAAUUUUAUUGUAACAAACACAUAUUCAUAGAGAUGCCGAAUUCUCUAUCUUCAUCAUGAUUCCAAAUUGAGGAUUAUACAUAAAGAUCUCAAAGCAAGUAAUGUGUUACUUGAUAAUAAGAUGAACCCAAAAAUUUCAUAUUUGUUUGAGAUAAUACUGUUCACACUAUUCUUUUAAUUUCUUUAAUUAAAAUAACAAAACUAAAUAAAAAUGUAUAAUAUUUAAUAAAAUUAAAAAUUCAAGUAUGUUGCCGCCAAUGCUGAUGAACUACUAGCGAAAGUUCGACGGCAGCUAGCCACAGGUGGCUACUGCAUGACAUCAUCUUUUACGCUAAAAUUGGGUAUCAUUAAAAUUCUCAUUGUCGGGGCUUCACAGUAGUGCCAAAACCUUGGCUGUAGAUCGAUGGUGAAUGAAAAUUCCUUUGCUGAUGAUAGUUGACCAUUGCAUAGCCCUAAUAAUAAUGAUUCUAAUGAUAUCAAAAUAUAGUUCAAAUGGUACUAAAGUAGGAUGGUCAAUGGUGAAAAUUUUUAUUUUGAUUACAAAAUUUUAAAUUAUUAAUUGAAUGUAAAUAAUAAUAGAAUAUAAAUGAAACUUUGAUUAUUAAUUUAACAUAAAUAUUAAAAUAGAAAUUAUUGUUUUGAAUAAUACAAUGCAUGCUACAUCAAACAUCAUAUUGUAUUUCAGCUUAAUACAAUAUAAUAUAAUAUAAUACAAUAUGUCAAACGCACCCAUAAAAAAAAAGUCAAAAUCACAAUAUUAUUUGGUGGGCCUUACCUGCAUUAUCCUCAGUUUACUUUUUGUGUCAAAUAAACAAUAGGCCCCGGAGACUAUCAUGCUAUUGCUUUAGGUUUACAUACAACUACACUGAUCUUGGUAAAGAUGACAGUUUACUUUUUGCAUCAAAUACUAUGUUGGGAUUAAUUUUUUUAUAAAAUUAGUCUAUUCGACUGCCUUUACCUGCAUCCAAACAUACCCCAAUGGUUAACUAUGAGAAAAUUUUAAUAAAGACUUGCAAUUUGUUUACUUGGAAUUGGAAUGGACAAAAAUUGUAAUGAGCUGAAAUCAAAACAGGCUGGAAUUGAUCACAUGAGGAAUAAGAAUCAAAGUAAGUUGUAUACUUGAAUCCAAAUCAACAAUAUUCCAAUUGAUGUAUUUACUUAUGUCUUGUAAUCCAAAUGAGUUAUUACAAGUCAUAAAAAUGUCCUUAGUUCCACUCUUUCUAGACGUCAUGAUGAUAUACGUUUCAUCCAUCUGGUAAGCGAAGGAGUUAUUACAAGUUUAAAAAAAUGUCCUUAAUUACAAUUAUGUAUUUUUCUAUGUAAAAUAAAUAAGCAAACAGUUUAAAAGAAAACAUUGGCAUAUUUAUUAUAAUAUUGAGAGUAAUACAAUGAGUUUUUGAGUAAACUAGUUGUUGUUGUUGUUAUUUUAUAUUGAUAAUAACUACUAUUAAUAUUAUUAUUGUAGGGAAAUUAAACCCCUAACUUCCUAUUAAUUUAAUUCCCUCUUAUUACUAUAAGGGGAACCAAAGUUCAAAUACCAAGUUUUUGUUGUUGGCAGGACUCAAACCUAUGCCCCUCAACUUUCUAGGUAUAGGUUCUCCCAUUAGAUUACAAAGUCAGCUUGUGUUAUUGUUACUACUAAUACUAUUAAGAUUAUUUAAUUAUGUAAUAGGAAUAAAAUCAAAAUUUCAAAAUUUAAGGGAUGGUAAAAUAAUUAGUUCAGAAAAUGAAAAUCGCAUUCCCACCUUCCCAUAGAAAUAAGAUUCUCAUUUCCACCUUCAAAAUUUGGUGGGCCUCGCAAAUUUCAUUCACAUUCUCAAAUAUCAAAUAAGCAAUUAAACAAUGGAAUCAUUUCCAUUCCUCCAUUCUUGACUCCCAUUCCAAGAAGUUAAUAACCUUUAAUAGAACGUUCAAAUGAAAAGACUAGCCAGGCCCAGAGAACUGACAUCGAUCAAUUAUCUCUUCCGGAUUAGAAUUAUAUGUUAUUUAUUUUGUCUUUUUUUUCUAAUUCAUAUAUUGUUGAAAAGUCAAUAUUGGUGAUUUGUUUAUUCAAAUUGGUUGAAAAAAAAGAGGUGAGCCACAUGCAUAAUUGACUUUUGGAGGAGUUAGUAACCGCAUGCAUGAUUUCUUUAAAAAAUGAAGAAUUUUUACAACUUUAUGAAGACGUAUUUGAUGCAAUUGAAGAGUUUUUCAAAAGGUAGAAAUGGUGGCCAAAAUCAUUGAAAUAAUUGCAUGCAAAUUGGAUGUUAGGUGCAAGCUUGGUGCCUAUAAAUAGAGAGCAUUUCUUCAUUCCAUUUCAUCCCAAAAAUUAAUUUGAGAGUUUAAGAGAAAUUGCAAAUGAAGUAAUUUUAGAGUUUUGAGAGUGUGAGCAGUUGGAGAGUGUGUGUGAGAGUACUGAGUGUAUUUAAGUUUUUGGAAAUUGAGGUUUCUCUACUCAAAUUUGUGCGCUAAUAAUUGUUAGUAAUACAAUUAUUUUUCUCUUGUUCCCGUGGACGUAGGCAUACUGCCGAAUCACGUGAAAUUCCGUGUCCUUUAUUUUUCUGUGAUUAUUUGGUGCGUUUGAUUUCGCAUUCCGCGCACAACAUAUAUGAUUACUCUUAAAUCUCAAAAAGCAAAAAAAAAUUCCCAUUAAUAAAGAUCCAUUGCAACUUGUAGACAAAUACAAAAUAGAAAAAUUUGUAUUCCUAGUCCUCUGCCACGUUAAGAGACUAUCAUUUUUCUUACCUAUGAUCGAAGCUUCAUUUGGAGGAUAUGCUGUACAAAUGAUUUAGCUCAUGUGAUUAAUAAAUAUAUACGAUCAUAAUUAAUUUCCAGCUUCUAGGGAAGUUAAAAUCCUUAUUUUUCCAUUUGUGUUUUAAGCAUGGUUUUUUACAAUUUUAUAUUUAAGUUUAAUAAAUUAAAUAGUACGUGUGUAUCAUUUCAUUAUGUUUAUGUUUAUGUCUCUAUCUUUAAUUUUAAGGAUGCUAUAUAUAUUAACUCAUUUUUCUAACAUGAGUAUCUUGCAGCAGGGUUCGAAUAGGAUGACGAUGGGAACAAGAAGACAUGAUUUCUAUUAGAGCAUAUUCGACUGAUUUAUAAAAUUAUACCAAUAUAAAUUCAUUAUUAGUUAGAUGAGAAAUAAGAAAUUCAAUUCUAUAAAUUAACUAAUGUACAACAAAUGAUUUACAAGGAUGACCCAAGUAAACUAUCAGUCAAAGUCAAUGAAUAUAUGCUCGUGGCAAUGUAUAUUCUAUAAAUGAACUCGUGUCAAUUGUGAUCACACUUGGAAUCUCCCCGGCAAAAAAUUUUCCGUUGAUGACAACCGAUUGCAACUUACAGACAGAUACCGAAAAUAUAAUUAGUAUUCAAUGUCCUUUCUGAAGUUCUACACGUAAUUUAGCGAUUUCACAUACAAGUGCGGCUUAUCUGCUCAUCAUUGCUCUGCUCCUUUUUGUUUUUAUUUUUAUUUUUUUGUUUUUUGUUUUUAACUGCUGCUCAUAUCUGCCGGUGGGGUUUUUCGAAAUUAUUGAUUAUUCUUUCCUUUGAAAUUAAUAUAAAAAAAAAGCUCCAUAAUUUUUCUGUGUAAUUUAAAACUAUUGCACGACGUUUUCUAUUCGGCCAUCCAUUAUUUAAUUGAUAACGGCCCAGCAGGCAUAUGGCUAGAAAUUCUCUUCUUCAAUUUUAAUUAGAUUUCAUGUAAACUUUUCUCAGUUCUCAAUGUUUGCGGACAUAAUAAUAAUAAUAAUAAUAAUAAUGUAUUACAUCUCAAAUUGUCUUCAUUAUAAUAUUUGGCCCUAAAACUAAUAAAACUAAUAAAAAUAAAGAGUAUAUAAUAACUUAUUUUGAUAGAUAAUGCUAGAAUUGCCUUUCAAAAAAAAAAAUAUAUUUAGAUUUAGAGGUGCAACUGAAUACAGCACUUAGAUAUUCUAAAGAUAUUAUACUGAAUUUGUUAUUUACUUAUUAUUACAAUUUUGUUUUGUAAUGCUGUCAAGUUUGUUAGAGCAUCUCCAAAAGAUUUUUUAGAUUUUACUCUUCAAAUAUCAAUUUGCUUAUUGAUGUGGCAAAUAAGUGGAUGAAAAAAUACAAUCUUCUCCAAAAGACUCAUCAAAUAAGAAUAAGUUAACAUUAUUUCAAUCAAAUCUUUCCACUAUUAAAUUAAAUUGCUGUUAUGUUUUUGAAGGGAAACAUAAAUAAUAAUUAUUGCAGUCUUAUCUUUUCAAUAAAUAAUAAUAAAAUAUUAAUAGAAGAGGGAGAAACUCACUCGGCAAUAUUGAAGAGUGAGAAACAAAUCUUAUUUGAAAAAUCAAAAUUAACGUAUUUUUUGGAAUGUUUAAUAUUGAUAUGACUCUUCGAAUAAAAAAUAGAAUUUUAUUUGAAAAAUCUUUUAGAGAUGCUCUUAGAGAAGAUAUUCUUAGCCGUUUUUUAAAUUUCUCUAUAACUCGCUUGAAGGAGUAUUUAAAGAAAUGAAUAAAUAAGAAAAGGACAGCUCCCUUAAAUUUAAAAUACAAUUCCUCUAUUUUCUCUAGUCUCUAUUCUUCACUCUUUCUAAUUCUAGAGGACUCCACCCUCUAAAGUGGAAACUAAAAUUCCAGAACUUCCACUUGAAAUCCAAGUUGGAGAAUUUUAAAUGUUCUUUGGCAGAAGAAUUACGAGCUGUACUACUUACCGAACGUUAGUACGCACCUCGAUGGGGGAAACUCUUUUCUUUUUGGCUUUUGGGACUGAUUGUUGGGGAAAAAUCAGGUUUUUAAAAUUUUUAUAAAACCUUUUGAAGAUCGCUCUCAUAUAAUAUAUAAGAAUUUGUAAUCUAGAAAUCGUACCUUGAAAAUCCGAUUUGGCUUUUUCCGUUGAAGUGAUUUAGGCUCCUAGAUCACGAUCCGCCACCACCACUCCUGUUAGAUCACGAUCCGUCACCACCACGCUUGUUAGAUUACGAACUGUCACCAAUGAUCUUCCAGGUUAUGACUCAGGUUCGAUCUGCACUUGACGUGUGGGCGCCUUUAUCACUACCAAAGCAACUAGCACGAGAAAAAUUUUCUCUCAACAAUAGAGAGAAAAAUCUUUUUCUCUGAUCUGUAUAAAGUGGCUACCCUAUUUUCUUUCGAGAAAAUAAGCCUUUUAUAUCACCCUUUAGUGAAAACCCUAGGCUCCAAAUAAUCAAAAAACAAAAACUCACGCUUUUUCUAUAGGUGACCCACCUUGUAAAAUAACAUAAGGCCCCUUACACAAAAGCUAAUUAAAUGGAGCCUCCCACUAAAUGAUAUAUUUAGGCUUUUGACCCAAAUAGCUAGUUAUCUUACUUAUUAGUCCAGUAGUGGUGCAGUCAAUUAAAUGAGCUAACCUAGGGAUCAUUUGGGAACAUACAAUAGUGGCUACAAUAAUUAGGCCUGUAAUUAAACUAGCCCAAUUAUUUAAUUCCAAAUCUACUCCACUAAAAUAUUGGAACUGACUUCCAUAAUUGUAUGCUCGAAUAAUAAUUCGUCCCAAGCCACAUUGAUUUCUUUACUGCACAAUCGUUUGUACCACAUCGUUAAUUAAAUUGAUAUCUCAACUGUCCAAUCAAUUUAAUAACAUCUUAUUCCUUGAUCCUUACUGGUUUUCUCUAAUGAUCAUUUUCAACAUACUAAAUAUGUUGACACACUCUGACCAGAGAAUUCUAUGAUCAAGUGCCGAAAACCCAUCAAGAGAUGUGUUGUACAAAUUCUAUAUUGUUAAUCCAUAACUCCAAUACUCAUAAUUGCUCCCACCAAGAUACCGGGUAAUCUUGACCACAAGGAUGUGUCGUGCCCAUUGGUAACUCAAAUGGAAUAACAAUUACAAUCAUGAAAUCAUAAUUAACUCAAGAUUAAGAUUACAGUAAAAUCAAUGCCUAUGAGAUUUAAUAAGUCUGACAGUUAUUACAAAGUUAAUUAAACCUCAUAUGUGAUCCUGUUCAAUGUAGUCGUACUACAUCAAUAAAUUCAUACAUGAUUAAGACAAAUCAUUCAAUGAAUUUAUUACAGUCUAUACCUAAAUAAAGUGCCCAACUUUAUUUAUCAACUGCGAACUAAAUUUAUUUAAUCAUAAGAUAACUUGUAUUUAUGUCUUAUGUGAAUCCACAUGCUGAUUGUUGAGUGAUAGAAAAUGUAUAUUUAUAAAGGAGAAAAUCGUUAUUUUACACUUCAAGUUUUACUAACACCCUUACUUUUAUGUAUUUAACCUUCUUUUGAUUUAAUUCCGUGUGUUUUAUUUUAAUUAAGUAUUUUAUGUAUUUUAGGGGCAUCAUAGUCAUUUCACAAUGAACGAGAGAUCAGACGGCAAAACAGACAUCAAUUUUGAACUCAGGACGGUCGAAAACCUUAGAAGGAGCAUAAAAGGAAAAAUGGCACUGUUCACAUGUACGGUACUGUCUACGUUACUGUUCACGACACUGUUCAUAUAGAAAGAUCGAUGAUGUGGCAUUGACCGAUGAGGUGUCACAAUCCUGUUGGACUAAAAUUCUUAUGCACUGUUGAUCGAUGACGUGGCAGCAUAUCAGUGGACCAGAAAUAUCGCGUACGGUACAUGCAUUACACAGGAUUAUUUUCAACCAAACCGCGUUACUGUUCAAGCCGGGUCAAACCGUGUUACUGUUCACCCGCGUGGUCAAACCGCGUACUGUUGACUGAUGACGUGGCGCAAUCCUGAGCGUCCAAACUGUUUUUAAUCCGAUGGCUAUGAUUUACUCCAUGUAUCUAUAAAAAGGGGGCCUCCCCCCCCUAAUUUUAUAUCUCUGAAUCCAUUUUUGGACUCCAUUUUCUGUAAUUCAUUCUCUAUCUUGUAUUUUCUACGUAUUUUAAUAAAUUUCCAUUUUGCCCCUAGUUCAAUUAUGAGUGGCUAAUUUUCUUUCAAGCUUGGGUUGAAGGUGAAGUCUUAACAUGUGUCAUGGGCUUUAUUUGGUAAAUUUAUUUUCUCUUCCCCUCUAGUUUUUGUGGAUGUUUUGACUUCUCGUCGACAAAUAAUAAUAAUCUUGUCUAGUACCGCCCUGGUUUCACCGGCUCCCUAGUACAAGGUUAUUAUUAUUUGGCACGAUAAGCCCUUAGCACCAUAUUGAUUAGAGUGUGGUUCAUGAGGUGUGGAUUCCCCCCUCAUGAUUUAAUUGGUAUUAAUAAGGAAUAUUUAGCCCAUGAUGCAUGUUGAUAUGGAUCCAGAUACCCAAGUAUGUCAUUUUAAUAGAUUUCUAUUCAAUUUAUUCUCGCCAUUUAAAUUCCAAUUUUAGGAUAAUCCAAAUCAUUUUCACCACAAAUCCAACCACCUUCAUACAAAAUUAAUUCUACAUAUAAUUAAAAUCCACUUCCUCGUGGGAUCGACACUCGUCACCAUUGAUCUAUACUACAAUAGAUUCGUGCACUUGCGAGUUCAAUAAAAUUUGCACAACAAGUUUUUGGCGCCGUUGCGGGGGAGGUAAGUUAUUUUAAUUUGUAGAAUUAAUUUUUGUGAAUAAUUUCUUUUAUUUGUUUUCUUGUAUUUUUUUUUCUUAUUAAAAAAAAGAAAAAAAGUGAAUCUAUAUUUAGAGGUAAUAAUUUCUUUUAUUUCUCUAUUCUUUACAAUUCUGCAAUUUAAUUUUUAAGUUAUUUUUCUUUGUAAUUUUUUUUAUUAAUUUAUUUUCACGUAUUUUUUUAGUGUGUUUUUAUAGUAAGGUUGUAAUAGCGCAAUAAGGUUAGUAUCGUAAUUUCUCCCUCUUCUUUAUUUUUAUUUGUUUUGUUCCCAUCUUUAUUUUUAUUUUAUUUGUUUUGCAUGCAUGGUCGUAGGUCAUUAUUACCUAAUCUUGAACUUAUAGACCUUGAACUAGAAAAAACACUUCGCGCACACAAGCACGUUAAAAAUAAAUUUGGAAUGGAUUUACAAGCACCACAGGAGAGGCCAUUUAAGGACUAUUUUAGUCCUUCAGCUAACUUGAGCACAUCAUGUAUAAGAUACCCAAAUAUAGCUGCUAGGAGCUUUGAACUAAAAUCUAGUGUGCUAAAUUGUCUCCCCACAUUCUAUGGCUUAGAAAAUGAGGACCCAUAUAAUCAUCUGAAUGAUUUUCAUGCUAUUUGUCAAACAUUUAAAUAUGAGAAUUUUUCAGACGAUGAUAUUAAACUCAUAUUAUUCCCAUUUUCUUUAAAGGAUAGAGCUCGUUCAUGGUUAAAUACUUUGCCUGCUAAUAGCAUUACAUCAUGGGAACAAAUGGUAACUAAAUUUUUGAAUAAAUAUUUCCCAGUGCAUAAAACCAAUGCUAUUCGCAGGGAAAUUUCAGAGUUUACACAGAGAGAAGACGAGCAAUUUUUUGAAACAUGGGAGCGAUUCAAUGGGCUACUCUUGAAGUGUCCACAUCAUGGGUACGAGAAAUGGCACUAAUGCCAAUACUUUUUGGAGGGAUUAUUGCCGAAUGUACAAGAAUGGCUAAUGGCAACAAGUGGAGGAGAGUUAAUGUCAAAAAGUGCAUCAGAGAUUUGGGAAUUCUUCUAGUGACAAGCGGAUAAUUCCCAACAACGAAGUCGAUCGCUUAGGAAUACUAAAAGAAUUAAGGGAGUAAAUGAGGUUCACAUUGGCGAGUCAAGUUCAGAAAUUAAAGAAGUCAAAGCGAUAAUUGAAGGUCUCUCUCGAUAAAUAGCAUCGUUAUCGACUGCUAAAUCAACAGAGUCAUAUGACCAUGACUCAUGCUCAGAUCAAGCUAAUGCCAUAGGUGUAAUGAGAAAACCAUCAAAUUACAACCCAUACUCCAACACAUAUAACCCUGGAUGGAGAGACCACCCCAAUUUUUUAUGGUCUCAAGGAUUCCAACAGAAUGGACCAGCAACUCCAGCUCCACCAAUGCAACAAAUUCCUCAAGCCUCUCAGCCACCAUUUAGACCACACAAUCAAAACCAGAACUACUCUCAACCCAGACCAUGAGAGGAUGCAUUCCAGAAUUUCAAGAAUGUUACUCACUCCACGAUUGAGCAACAGAACCGCACCAUUGAUGGACUACGAAAUGAGUUGAGAGCAGGCUUCAACUCACAAGCCCAAUCAGUUUCAAGCCUUGAGAAGAUGGUGGGACAACUUGCUUCUUCAGUUCAGACUUUGGCAAUGACAAUUGAGAAAGGUAAAUUUCCAAGCCAACAAGUGUCUAAUCCUAAAGGAGUACAUGAAGCAAGUAUCAGUUCACCACAGCAGCAUGGAGAGGUCAAAGCUGUCAUGACCUUGCGAAAAGGAAAAGAAGUCGACAACAAACUGGAGAUGCCGGUGACAAAAGAAAAUCAAAUUGUACCUGUAAAUACUGAGGACUCAUCACCGGAGGAGAAAGAAGAAACCAACCCACGAGAAUAUGUUCCCAAAGCUCCAUUUCCUCAGAGGUUAACUAAAGGAAAGAAGGGAAAUCCACAGGUGAGAUUCUUGAAAUCUUCAAACAGGUAAGUGUUAACAUCCCUUUACUUGAUGCUAUAAAGCAAGCUCCAUCUUAUGCCAAGUUUCUUAAAGACCUUUGUACUAAAAAGAGAAAUAUUCAUGGUCAAAAGAAGACAUUUUUAAUAGAAAACGUUAGUUCUAUACUCCAACAUAAAAUUCCUCUAAAAUGCAAAGACCUAGGCUCCCACACUAUCUCAUGUAGCAUAGGGAACCACACAAUUGAGAAUGCUUUGUUGGAUUUAGGAGCUAGUGUAAAUCUGUUGCUUUACUCAGUAUUUUUGAAACUUGGACUUGGAGAAUUACACCCAACUUCAGUGGUGUUACAGCUUGCAGAUCGGUCCACGAAAAUACCUCGUGGUAUUGUGGAGGACGUGCUUAUCCAGGUAGACAAGUUUUAUUUUCCGGUUGAUUUUAUUGUAAUUGACACUCAACCAAUACAGGAUUCAAGGAAGCACAUCCUCAUUAUCCUCGGCCGACCUUUCUUGGCAACUGCGGAUGCUCACAUUCAAUGCAGAACUGAAAAUAUGCAGUUGUCCUUCGGCAACAUGACUAUGGAACUGAACAUCUUCAACAUUGCCAAACAACCUCAUAAUGCAGAUGAUGAAAUUGUUGAUGUGGAUUUAAUUGAAGCAUUAGUUGAUGACACUUUUCUUUCAAACCUUAGUGAUGAUCCUUUACAAACAUGCUGAACUCACUUUGGUUUGGAUUUUGAUAUUUACAGAUCAGUCGAUGAGGUCAACUCCCUGCUUGACUCAGCACCAUCCAUGGACACUAAUAAAUGGAAGUCAAGAGUUGAAUAACUAGAACCAUCAGAAAAGAAACUUAUCCCAUCAUCAGAAUCACCACCGAAACUCGAGCUCAAACCAUUACCCAACACUUUGGAAUAUGCAUUUUUGGGAGAAGAAAGUACUCUACCGGUAAUCAUCUCAUCAUCCUUAAAUGACGAACAAAAAGGUAAGUUGUUGGAUAUUUUCAAAGAGCACAAAGGAGCAUUAGGAUGGAUUAUAGUAGACAUCAAAGGUAUAAACCCAGUAGACUGCAUGCAUUACAUUCACCUCGAUGAAAAUGCUAAAUCUACUAGGGAAAUGCAACGUCGGUUAAAUCCUAAUAUGAAAGAAGUUGUUAGAACUGAAGUCCUUAAGCUAUUAGACGCAGGUAUCAUUUACCCAAUUUCUGAUAGUUCAUGGGUCAGUCAUGUACAAGUUGUCCCUAAAAAGUCAGGAGUCACAGUAGUUACCAAUGCUGAUAAUGAAUUGAUACUAACUAGAGUAACUACAGGAUGGCGUGUAUGCAUUGAUUAUAGAAAAUUGAAUUUUGUCACACGUAAAGACCAUUUUCCUUUACCAUUUAUUGAUCAAAUGCUUGAUAGAUUAAUAGGCCAUGAAUUUUAUUGCUUUCUAGAUGGCUACUCAGGAUAUGAUCAGAUUUCCAUAGCAUCAAAAGAUCAAGAGAAAACCACUUUCACUUGCCCUUUUGGCACUUUUGCAUAUAGGAGGAUGCCAUUUGGAUUAUGUAAUGCACUUGCUACAUUUCAACGAUGCAUGUUGAGCAUUUUUUCUGAUAUGGUUGAACGAUUCCUUAAAGUCUUUAUGGAUGAUUUUUCUGUCUUUGGUGACUCGUUUGAUCAAUGUUUACAUCAUCUAACAUUAGUUCUGCAGAGAUGUGUCAAGAAGAACUUAGUCUUAAAUUGGGAGAAGUGUCAUUUUAUGGUAAAACAAGGUAUUGUUCUCGGUCACAUCAUUUCAAGCAAAGGUAUUGAGGUUGACAAAGCCAAUGUGGAUCUCAUUUUUAAUCUUCCUCCACCCAAAACAGUCAGAGAAGUAAGAUCUUUCCUUGGGCAUGCUGGUUUCUAUAGACGUUUCAUUAAAGAUUUUAGCAAAGUUUCUAGACCCUUAUGUAAUUUACUUGCUAAGGAUGUACCAUUUAUCUUUAAUGAUUCAUGUCUUGUGGCUUUUGAAAAAUUAAAGCAAUCGUUGACAUCAUCACCCAUCAUUCAGCCCCCAAACUAGAGCUUACCAUUCGAGCUUAUGUGUGAUGCAUUCGAUUAUGCAGUAGGAGCAGUAUUAGGACAAAGAGUUGAUCGAAUUCCCCAUGUUAUUUACUAUGCUAGUAUGACAUUGAAUGAUGCACAGUUGAACUAUUCAACUACUGAAAAAAAAUGCUAGCAGUAGUGUUUGCAUUGGAAAAAUUUCGAUCUUAUCUCAUUGGUUGUAAAAUAAUUAUAUUCACAGAUCAUGCUGCUAUUAAAUAUCUUCUCACAAAGAAAGAUGCAAAAGCUAGACUAAUUCGUUGGGUGUUACUUUUGCAGGAGUUCGACUUGGAAUUUAAAGAUAAGAAAGGCACAGAGAAUGCUGUAGCUGACCAUCUCUCUCGUCUCCAUUUUGACACAAUUAUGGAAUCAUUACCAUUGAAUGAGUCAUUCCCAAAUGAACAAUUGAUGAGUGUGGAAGUAUUACCAUAGUAUGCUGAUAUCGUUAAUUAUCUUGUUACAGGUCAACUUCCAGAGCAUUGGACCAAGCAAGACAAGGCUAAAUUCUUUGCGGAAAUAAAGAAUUUCUUUUGUGAUGACCCGUAUUUGUUCAAGUAUUGUGCAGAUCAAAUUGUUAGACGAUGUGUCCUAGAAAGUGAAAUUCAAAAUAUCCUUUCAUUCUGUCAUGAACAAGCUUGUGGAGGCCAUUUCAGUGCUAAGAAGACAGCUACUAAAGUUUUACAAUGUGGUUUCUAUUGGCCAACUAUAUUUCGAGACGCUUACACUUUCUGUUCUUUAUGUGAUAGGUGUCAACGAAUAGGGAGCAUUACACGAAGGAACAUGAUGCCACUAAAUUCAAUUUUAGUGGUUGAGAUUUUUGACGUAUGGGUUAUCGACUUCAUGGGACCCUUUCCCCCUUCUUUUGGCCAUCAAUACAUAUUGGUUGCUGUUGACUAUGUAUCAAAAUGGGUAGAAGCAAUUCCAUGUAGAACCAAUGAUCAUAAAGUGGUGAUAGGAUUUUUGAAAAGUAAUAUUGUUUCACGCUUUGGAUUCCCUCGAGCAAUAAUCAGUGAUGGUGGUGCCCACUUUUGUAACAAAGCAUUCAAAGCUCUUUUGACAAAGUAUUCAAUCACUCAAAAAGUGGCAACCCCAUAUCAUCCGCAAACCAGUGGCCAAGUUGAGAUCUCCAAUCGAGAAAUAAAGCACAUAUUAGAAAAGAUGGUGAGGCCGGACAGAAAAUAUUGGUCAUUAAGACUUGAUGAUGCAUUAUGGGCAUAUAGAACAACGGCUUUCAAGACCCCGAUUGGGAUGUCACCCUACAGGCUAGUGUAUGGAAAAGCUUGCCACCUAUCUGCAGAACUCGAGCAUCGUGCAUAUUGGGCUAUCAAGAAAUUCAACUUUGACAUGCAGCAAGCCAGCUCAGAAAGAAGAUUACAGCUGGGAGAAAUUGAAGAAAUUCGCAAUGAUGCAUACGAAAAUGCCAAGAUUUACAAGCAACGAAUGAAAGUCUUCCAUGACAAGCAAAUUAUGAGAAAAUCUUUCACUCCAGGUUAGAAAGUGCUUUUAUUCAAUUCUCGCUUGCACCUAUUCCCAGGUAAGUUACGCUCUCGAUUGUCUGGCCUCUUUAUUGUUCAUACUAUUUUUCCACAUAGGGCAAUUAAAAUAAAAGACCCAAAGAACGGUGUUACGUUUAAAGUUAAUGGUCAAAGAUUAAACCCAUAUCUAGAGUACCAACCACAUGGAGAAGACACCGAAAUAAAUUUGAGUGACCCACUAGAUUUGAAUUGAUUUUUUUUUCUUUUCGGUGAUUUGAUUUUUUUUCUUUCUUUUUAUUAUUUUUUAUUUGCUAAUUGAAAUUAUUUUUGUAAAAGUGUGUUUGUUUAACCAUUAAGUUUUUUUUCUUAUCAUUGUUAAUCAUGAGUACCAUGCUUAAACCGUUCCUCCUGAACAUUCUUAAACCACUUCAACGUGUAAAAUCUCAUCUCAAAAGGCAGAUUCAAUUUUGUAAAACACAUCGCAUUUGGGCUCUGCAACCACCAGAGUUAGUAUCCUAUGUUAAGGGUUUAGAAAGCCAACUCAGAGACAUUGAGAGAAGUGUUUAUGACAUCCAGUUGGAGCUUGAGGUAAAUUCAAUAAGAGGACGAUUUUAAUUUUCUUUGUGUGUUUUAAUUUGUUUUUCUGUUUGUGUGCUUUAGUUUGUUACCCCGGUGAAGUGACGGAUAACGGUACUCCGUGACAAUCAAGUCGGUUACUUCAGUUUCCCAUAAUAACUGAUAUUCUGAGGCGAAGGUAUGGACAGAAACGAGAUUCUAGCGAAACUUCACAAGCGAUUCCCUUCACUUCCUCAGAAUGCCCUCCUUACAAUCUAUAAAGCCCGGUUCGAACGCAUGUGAUUGCUCAUAAGGAAUAACAUACCUGCUGACAUCCGUUGGUUAAUCGAGGCUAAAGUAUGAUUGGCAGGUGAGUUACCUCCAAAAUUUAUUGCAUACAUGCCUGAUUGUGGUAAAGGAAAUUAUGCAAGAAAACAACGAGCUCGAAGAAUUUCUAUUGCUUUUCAUAAGUGUGCCAGAAUGAGUUGCGAUAAAAACCCAUGUUCUUUAGGAAUGGUGUCUGAUAACAAGGAAGAUAAGAUUCAAUUCAUUAGGGAUGGCUUGAAUAAGGAGUCAUUGGAUGAUAUCCUUCUGUCUCUUGAAACGCAUCCCAGUGGAUAUGUGCAAGGAGCGAUUCUCCAGUUAUGGCCAUUAUUCCAGAAAGAGCAUGCACGAUAUAGUCUCGGGAAUCUGACUAUAAACGAUCUUGUUUGCCAGUUUAUAAGAAAACUGGAUGGGAAGCCCAUCCUCGACCCAUAGAGGGCGUUCAAGCCGUUUCUGGACGUAAAACCAGAGGAAGAUAUAAGCCACAGUCGCAACUACCUAUAAAUAUCCUUUUACUUCACUGCUAUUUUAUUUCACUGUUGUUUUAUCUUUUCCAUUAUUGUCAUUAAUAAUUUUAUUUGACCAUUGUUUCUUUUUCUUUUUACUGUUUUCUUUUUGACUCGCGAGCCAUGUGCUUUACGCGUUAUUUGACACUGACAUGCCAUCUCAUACACAGUUGUGACCCACUGUCACCAAGAUUCUUAAAUAAGACUUUUUGUUAAGCACUCACAAAUUGUUUUUGAGAAAUAUUCCAAUGGCAGUUACUCCCAAUAGACAAUUCAAGAACAUUUGUGUGCUUUCUGGAUUUAACUAUGGCAAACAUAAAGAGUUCGUUGAGGCAGCCGUAGAUCUUGGUCGAAGCAUAGCAGAGAGAAAAUUACACUUGGUGUAUGGAGGAGGUAACCGAAGGUUAUCAAAAUUGGUUUCAGAAGCUGCUUUUGUCAGAGGAAGCCAAGUGUUAGGCAUCAUCCCAAGAGUCUUAAAACCUUUGGGCAGUUUGUCUGACUCACCGACUGGAGAAGAGUUAGUCGUCUCAGGUAUGCAAGAAAGAAUAACUGAAAUGCUUAAUCAUGCUGAUGCUUUUAUUUUCCUUCCAGGAGAUCGUGCAACACUAGAGGCACUUAUCACACUAGCAUCUUGGGCCCAUCUGCACAUUCACCAGAAACCCAUUGGUUUGUUAAAUGUCAAUAAUUUUUAUGAUGGCUUUAUCGCAUUUCUUAACCAUGCAAUAAAAAACUAUUUCGUUCAUUCCAAUGCCAAAAAGCUUUUUAUUUGUGCUCACACUGCUAAUGAGCUACUUGAUAUGUUACAAGCUUAUAGAUCGGAGCCAAACCCCUGGACCUUUGUGUUAGAGCGUCCAAAUAAUGAUGGUAACAGUAGCCGCAGUAAGAAGUACAAAUUAGAUUUAACUCUCCACUUGUAAAUAUUUUCUUCUGUGUUGCACCACCCAGGUGAUGUCUUCUAAACUCUACUUCUUUCCUUUCAAACAUUGAGGACAAUGUUUCGUUCUGGUUGGGGGGAGGGAAUAGUCGACAAUUGUGGAAUCUUGGUUAAGUUUUUACUAAUUUUUUGUUGUAGAAACUAACUGUUGCUAACUUUUUGUGUUGAAGAUGGCUGAAUAUGGAGUGUAGUGACUCUAGAAACGCAUUUUCAUCGUUUGAAAAAAAAAUUCAAAAAAAAUUCAAAAAAUUCAGACAUUUUCUUUUUCUUUAUUAAGUUUUGAUGUUCAUUUUUCUUCUUCUUUUUUAAUUUCUUCUUUAUAAAUAUACAUUUUUAAAUAUUUGAGUCGAAGAUGGCUGAAUUGGAGUAUAGUGCUUCUAGAAACGCAUCUUCUUAGUUAAAAAUAAAAAAUUAAAAAAAAACAUUUCUUUUUCUAUCAUUUUAAAUGUAACUUUUCUAAUUAAUUUUUCUGCAUCAUUUUCACAUUUCUGCAUACAUAUUUUCCUUUCAUGUUUAAAAUAUGUUGGGGGGUAGAAUGUUGUUUUAAAAUAAAAAUUGUGUGAUUUGUUUUAACAUUGGAUGACAUGAUUCAUUUCAAAUUUUAAUAUUUGUAUUAUCUUUGGUCUUAAGUGAUGUUACACUAUGUUUGCUACUCUACAUGUUGAUGUCGAAGACAAAUAUAAGUUGCUUGAAGGAAUGAACAUGUCAUAAUAAGUACCAAGUGAGUUUUUGAGCCUAUCCUUUUUCUUGGAGAGUAACCCUUUUGCCCAUUCUUUAUACAGCUUAGCAGUUUAUUAUUGUAUACACGAUCUCUAGAUUUCUUUUGAGUUAACCCUUAAAAAAAAAAAAAUGUGUGUUACUACAUUUGGAGGCCCAUCUAACUAGUAGAUAUGGAAGGUUAUUUAGAACCCUAAAAGACGAUGAAAAGGCCAUCUUUGAUCCGUUUGAGCCUUUCUAGCCAUCCAUUUUAUCAAAUAUCCAUAGUUAACCAUUUUGAGCCUUAAAAAAAAAAAAACUUUUCUUUGUCAAACUUAUCAUCUUGACCCACUCCGAUUUGGAGUAUUACCCAAUAUCUUACAAGUUCCAUCACCUAUUUAUGUUUGAGAAAAAUGUAAAUAAAUAUUUUGUAUAGUGAAGUAAUGCUAAAAAAAAUUGUUAUUUUAAAAAAAAGAAGAUGAAGAAAAAAAAAUAACAAUAAUAGGUGAAAUCCACCUUGCAACUUCCAAAAAAAAAAAAUUCCUCUGUAUUUUUCUCAAACAUACACUUCGUUUUCCUUAUUUUCCUUCUUUGUUAACCAUGUCCCUAGCCUACGUUACGUCCUAAUAAAAGUCCUUCUUGAUUUAGGGAACUAUAGUCUGAAGUAGAAGCUAGUUAUAUGGGCUAAAAAAAUAUAGUGGUGCAUAAAAAAAAUAAUAAUAAUAAAUAAAUUGGGUUGACUAGCAUUUUUAUUUGACUUGAGAUCGUAUUAUUUCUAAGCUGAGGGCAUAUUUCUUUCAUCUUGGUGAGAGCAUGUGAUAUCAUUUUUUUUUAUUAUUUUCUCUUAAUUACCAUUCAUUGGAGUGACUAUUUUUAUUGGGUUUAAUUUCUUUGUGAGAGUGUCACUACUUCCAGUGAGAUUUUGGGGUUUGACAUGUCAUUCUUGAAGGUAGCUAUGACAAAGUCUACUAGGCUGAUUCAUGUGGAUGGUUGAUGUGGGUGUGAUGUUUCUUUAGACUUGAGAUAAUGCUUAUACUUUUAUUUGAUUGUUAUCAUUAGUCUGAUUGAAUAAACAAGAGUGUUUAAAAAAAAAAUCAUUUUGGAUGUGAAUUUUGUUUUCGCUUUAUUUGCUAGGGACUAGCAAUAAGCUGGUUGGGGGUGUGUUGAGUGUUAGAAAAUGUAUAUUUAUAAAGGAGAAAAUCGUCAUUUUACACUUCAAGUUUUACUAACACCCUUACUUUUAUGUAUUUAACCUUCUUUUGAUUUAAUUCCGUGUGUUUUAUUUUAAUUAAGUAUUUUAUGUAUUUUAGGGGCAUCAUAGUCAUUUCACAAUGAACGAGAGGUCAGACGGCAAAACAGACAUCAAUUUUGAACUCAGGACGGUCGAAAACCUUAGGAGGAGCAUAAAAGGAAAAAUGGCAUUGUUUACAUGUACGGUACUAUUCACAUGUGCGGUACUGUCUACGUUACUGUUCACGACACUGUUCAUAUAGACGGAUCGAUGAUGUGGCAUUGACCGAUGAUGUGGCAUUGAAUGAUGAGGUGUCACGAUCCUGUUGGACUAAAAUUCUUAUGCACUGUUGAUCGAUGACGUGGCAGCAUAUCAGUGGACUAGAAAUCUCGCGUACGGUACGUGCAUUACACAGGAUUAUUUUCAACCAAACCGUGUUACUAUUCAAGCCGGGUCAAACCGUGUUACUGUUCACCCACGUGGUCAAACCGCGUACUGUUGACUGAUGACAUGGCGCAAUCCUGAGCGUCCAAACUGUUUUUAAUCCGAUGGCCAUGAUUUACUCCAUGUAUCUAUAAAAAGGGGGCCUCCCCCCCUAAUUUGAUAUCUCUGAAUCCAUUUUUGGACUCCAUUUUCUGUAAUUCCUUCUCUAUCUUGUAUUUUCUACAUAUUUUAAUAAAUUCUCAUUUUGCCCCUAGUUCAAUUAUGAGUGGCUAAUUUUCUUUCAAGCUUGGGUUGAAGGUGAAGUCUCAACAUGUGUCAUGGGCUUUAUUUGGUAAAUUUAUUUUCUCUUCCCCUCUAGUUUUUGUGGAUGUUUUGACUUCUCGUCGACAAAUAAUAAUAAUCUUGUCUAGUACCGCCCUGGUUUCACCGGCUCCCUAGUACAAGGUUAUUAUUAUUUGGCACGAUAAGCCCUUAGCACCAUAUUGAUUAGAGUGUGGUUCAUGAGGUGUGGAUUCCCCCCUCAUGAUUUAAUUGGUAUUAAUAAGGAAUAUUUAGCCCAUGAUGCAUGUUGAUACGGAUCCAGAUACCCAAGUAUGUCAUUUUAAUAGAUUUCUAUUCAAUUUAUUCUCGCCAUUUAAAUUCCAAUUUUAGGAUAAUCCAAAUCAUUUUCACCACAAAUCCAACCACCUUCAUACAAAAUUAAUUCUACAUAUAAUUAAAAUCCACCUCCUCGUGGGAUCGACAUUCGUCACCAUUGAUCUAUACUACAAUAGAUUCGUGCACUUGCAAGUUCAAUAAAAUUUGCACAACAGUGAUCACAUAAAUACAUAUAAUAUGAUUAAAUAGACUUUAAUACAAAUAUUAAUGCAAUUAAGAUAUUUGAAUAAAAUAUCUCAUUUAUUUUAUUAAUCAGAAAAAUUAUUUAUUACAAUUAAAUAAACACAUAUGCUUUUAAAGAGCAUAUUUUCCCAACACUGAUACCGUGGCCCUAGUGGAGGUUGGGCUUAAUACACAAAGGAUCAUUUGGUACUAGCAGAAAGAAAAUCAGGAGCCCUUGGAGGUGGAUAGAGAUUUGAUUGAAGAAAAAAGAUAAAACGUAGCAGAAAGAUUAGUAGCCUACCAGAAAAUGAUCGCCAAGUAUUAAAACACCAGAGUUAAAAUACGAGGGUUUCAACCUGGACACCUAGUACUAAAGAAAGUAGAAACAAUAUGGGUAGAGGAAACCCUAGGCCCUAAUUGGGAAGGCCUAUACAUGGUUAUAAAGUAAGUAACUCCAGGAACGUAUAUUCUGGCGGAAAUAAAUGGAAAGCGGUUAACUCAAUCUAAGAAAGCAGAACAUCUUAGGCGUUACUAUGCGUAAGAACGGAACAAUUUUUUUUCCUUAUUUAUCACUUUUCUCUUAUGAUCUGCUUUUUGAAGAUGGUUAGUUGAGAAGUUGUCAAGUUUGAAAUGUUAGAUCUAAUAAGCUUGUAGUUGUUUACAUGUCGGCUUUGGACCCCAAAUUGAUACCGCUAAUAUUAGGUGGUCCACCACAAGCAAGAGGAAAAGUCUUUUAUGUUAUUGUCAGUUGUUUGUUAUUCAUGUCUUUGAACCCCACACUAGCAUUACAAACAUUAACUGGGCCAGUUCAAGCUAGGGGGAAGUCUGUCUUCAAAUUUUAUAAAAUAAAUGUUCAUGCACAUUUUGUCAUUUUUUGUAUGUUCAUACAAUUUCACACUUUACAUCAAAAUUUUACCAUAAGAUGUUGCAUGGUACCCCAGAACAAAAGCAAGCAGACAAGAUUCAAAACGCCUUACAAGGCAAGAAUAAUGUUGCCUUUGAGGCAUGAAAAAUACAGCCCUACAAGCCAAGAAAUCAAAACGCCUUACGAGGUAGGAAUAAUGCUGCUCUUGAGGCAUGAAAAAUACAGCCUACGAGGCAAGAAAUAAAAAAUGUCUUACGAAGCAUGAAUAAUGCUGCCCUUGAGGUAUAAAAAAUACAGCCCUACGGGACAAGAAAUCAAAAUGCCUUACAGGACAUGAAUUAUACUGCCCUAAUCGAGGCCGGAAUCAUAUGGCCAUAUCGAGGCCGGAAUCAUAUUGCCAUAAUCAAAGCAUGAAUUAUUCUACCUUAAUCAAGGUAGGAAUCAUUUUGCUCCAAUUAAGGCAUGAAUUAUACUGCACUAAUCAAGGCAGGAAUCAUAUUAUCCUAAUCAAGGCAUGUGUUGUGUAAAUUUUAUUGAACUCGCAAGUGUACGAAUCUAUUGUAAAAUAAAUCAACGGUGACGAGUGUCGAUCCAAUGAGGAGGUGAAUUUUAAUUGCGUGUAAAGUUAGGUUUCUAAGUGGGUGGUUGGAUUUGUGGUGACAGUGAUUUAGACUAUCCUAAAAUUUAAAUUAGAAUGACGGGAAUAAAUUAAAGUAAAAAUUAUUAAAAUGAAGCGUUUGUGUCUCUGGAUCUGCACUCAACAUGCACCAUGGGCUUAAUAUUCCUUAUUAAUGCCAAUAAAAUCAUGAGGGGGGUUUCCACUCCUCAUGAACCUUACUCAAAUAAAUAUGGUGCUAAGUGCUUAUCAUGCCAAAUAGUAAUAACAUUGCACUAGGGAGACAGUUAUACUAGUGCAAUAUCUAGAUAAGAUUAUUAUUAUUUGCUGAUGAAAAGUCAAAACAUCCACAAAAAUCAAAGGGGAAGAGAAAGUAAAUUUACCAAAUUAAGCCCAUGGAACUGUUAGCCUAAAGGGCUACACAUAAUGUAAUUUUGAUGAUAACAAAUAUGUGUAUUAAGUGAUUUAAUAAAUAUUAUAUUUCACAUUUUUACUAAUUUUUUAAGGGUAAUAUUUAUGCAAGUGAAUCAAGUGAAAUCAAGGUCAAGACACUCAAUGGACAACGGCGAAAUUAAGAAUAAAGUUUAGAGCUCAACGGACAAAUUAUUGUGAUAAAUUCUUGUAAAGCCGGUAUGAUUUAAUUGAUGCAUGAUUUAGCAUUUGAGAAGCUCAAGAGAUUUAUUUAAAUAAUUACUUUUCAUAAACUAAAAGGUUUUAUUUUUAUAAGGUAAAGUAUUUUGUGGAUUUGAGUAAUUUGGACUUAAAUGAAAAGUUUUGCAAUCUUUGAUUUUAAUAAGUAUUAUUUUGAAUUUCAAAGUUGGACCUUUUUGCAAACAUUUGAAAUGUUUUGGGCCAUACUAUAAUUUAUGAACAUUUUUUACUAAAGUGAAAGGUUUUGAGAACUUUGGAAAAUAUAGGUAUUAUGUUAAAUUUUAAGUCCAAAAGCCUUGAAAAAUAUGGAUAAUCUCUUGAUUGUAAAGGUUCAUUGACACCUUGAAAGUCAAUUGUAAGAACUUGAAGCUUUGGGAGGUUUGGAUAGUGAAAUCCUCGAGCUUGGUUGGCUUGGAGGCGUGGACGUAGGCGGAAAUUGCCGAACCACGUAAAAAUCCGUGUGUUUAUUUUUCUCUUCCCUUACUCUUUUAUUUUUAUGCUUGUUUGAAUUUAUUGUUUUCUAUUCCAUUAAGGCGUUAGAUUGAUUGGUUGUGCGAAUUGUAUUGCAUAAUUUUUAAAAACUCAAUUCACCCCCCUCUUGGGUUGCGUAACUUGCAUUUCAAGAACAUGUUGAGACUUUACUUUCAAUCCAAGCUUGAAAGAAAAUUAGCUACUCAUAAUUGAACUAGGGGUAAAAUAAAAAUUUAUUAAAAUACGUAGAAAAUACAAGAUAGAGAAGGAAUUGUAGAAAAUAGAGCUCAAAAAUGAAUUUAGGGGUGCCAAAUUAGGGGGGAGCCCCUUAUUUAUGAUACAAUGAGUAAAUCAUGGCCAUUGAAUUAAAACAAUUUGGACGCUUAGGAUUGCGACACGUGGUAAGUUCUGAUUGGAUAGAACACAUUAUCAAGGCUGUCAUUCCGUGUAUAUGCAUGUACUGUACGUAUGUUUUUCGGUCCACUUACAUACUGCCACGUCACGGUCAAUGCCAUAUCAGCAUUUUAGUCCAAUAGGAUCGUGACACAUCAUCGGUCAAUGCCACAUCAUCAGUUAACGCCACAUAAGCAGUCAAUGCCACAUCAUUCGUCCAAUCGAAUACUGCCACGUCAUCGGUCAGUGCCAUGUCAUCGAUCAGUGCCACAUCAUCGUAUUGUAUAUGUGAACAGUGUCGUGAACAGUACUAUGAACAAUACCGUACAUGUGAACAAUGUCAUUUAUCUUUUUAUGCUCCUUUUAAGGUUUUCGACUGUCCUGAGUUCAAAAUUGCUAUCCGUUUUGCUAUCUGAUCUCUCGUUCAUUAUGAAAUGAUCACGAUGCCCCCUAAAAUACAUAAAAUAUUAAUUAUAAUAAAACACACUUAAUUAAAUCAUAAAAGACUUAAAUACAUAAAAAUAGGAUGUUAGUGAGACUUAGAGUGUAAAAUGACGAUUUUCUCAUUUAUACAUAUACACUUUUUAGCACUCAACAGCAUGCAUUAUACUGCCUUAAUCAAGGCAGAAAUCAAGGUGUGAGUUAACCAGCCUUACGAGUCACGGAUUGAGCAAAUCUACAAGGCGCAAAAUAGACAGUCAUCUGAAACACGAAUUAAAUAACCCUCAGAGGCAUGAACUAUGUAAUUCUUCUAGGUGCGAAUUAUACCACCCUAUAAGACAUGAGUUACGCCACACUCUGAAUCGUGUUAAAAGAAACAGUACUACCAACCGUGAUCUGUUACGGCCUAAAUAGAAAGUAGGUAACCACAAAUUUUCACUAUCUGGCCGACAUGUAGAUAGUAAUGAGUUACUACUGUCUGGAUAAAAGAGUAGGCAAUCAUAGAUUAUUCCAAUUUUGACGCAUUAAUGGGCACAAGUUGCUCAUACAAGAAGAUAUGAAUAAUUAACAUUUGAAUGACCAUAUGAGUCAGUACGAAUCUCUACCACCUAAGCAUAAUUCACAGUCAGUUUAACAGCAGAGCAAGUAAACGCGAGUUAUUGCCACUUGAAUGAUUCCAGCUUACUUGGAGGAACAUCAAUUAUAGGGGUCAGAAAAUAACUCAUGCUAGACAAUGAAGCACAAGACGAAGGCAAAAACACCAUCAAAGUUAAAUAUAGGAAAUUGAAAACAGCCCAAAAAGAGAACAUUACAUGCCAAAAGUACCAGAUGGCAGUAAAGUAAUACAUAAAAUAUAAAAAAUUUAAAUAGAAUUAUUGAAUGUUCAAAGCACCAGUAAAGGAGGUUAAAUCGGCCUUAGCUAACUUUGGGAUAUCACUUGGGUAGAUAGCGGCCAAAGGGGGGAUGUUCAAAGAAGAUUCACCCCCUCUUCAUUUGUUUCUCUACUAACAGGUCUAGAAGUAAUAGCAGUAUCCACAGGAAAAGUGGGCUGAGGUGGAACAUGAGCUGGUUCGUCUUGCUGACCAGUUGGCUUAUCAUCACUAUCUCUAGCCAACUUGUCCUCUGGAGACAGGUCAAAGUCGUCCACUAGGGGAGUCUUAGAAUAAUAAUCAUCCAUGAACUUCAAAUCCCAUUUAGAGUGAUGGUCCUUCAUAACUUUCUUGCAAUCUCGACCCCAACAAAGAAUUCCACAUCUUUUACCUGCUUGAAUUCAGCCGAUUGGAGGUAAGCUUCGAUAUGGGUUUGAUAAUUGUUCUGAAGCUGUUGCCUCAAACAAGCUAUCUCUUCAUCCUUGUUCUUGAUCACCCCGCUACUGAUACUAUGCUCUAAUUUAAACGACUCAUGUACAGACUUGAAGGUUGAAAGUUUGGUCCUCAACUGGAUUAUUUCGCCUGCAACUUUGUUUUUCUCGUUCCUAGCUUUUGAGCAUUCAUUUUCUGAAUCACAAUACAGAUUGUAUAGCCAGGAGUGAAAGCAUUGAAUCCAAGAGUGUAAUUAUCAGGAGUAUAGCCAGAAGUAAAGGCAGGAUCUGAAUACACCACAUUUCCUUGAAAAGCAAAAUUUCUUGUCAUGUAGGUCCAAGACCUCUGCCAAACCAUUAAAUGAUCUGCCUCUGCCAUACUAUCGUUGUCUAAAACCUCCAUUGAAAUUUCCUCCGCCAUAGUUCUUUUAACGUACAAAGAAGAAUUAUAUGUGUUAUUGCACCUAUUUGCUCCAUGUUCAGGGAUGAGGUAUAUUUGACAGAGAAUGUCAACUGGCAUGAGAAUUUCCUCCACCAAUGAAUUUUCCAAAUCCAUUAUUAUUAAAUCCACCAUUUAAGCCACCAAAUUUGAAUUAUUGCCACCUCCAAAAUUACCUUCAAAAUUUCUCUGAACUCCACCACUGUUCUUUCCAGAAUAUGAACCUUUUUUAGCUACAUUUGCAGUCAUAUAAUGCAUAACAUCACUAGCAAUUUCACCUUUCAUUUGCUCAGUUCGAUUUUCAUGAUUCAGAAGUAUAGAAAUACAAAUCAUGUAAGGUGAUUGUUCCUUCUCUGGCUAGAACAACAGUUAUCAAAGAUUCAUAAUCAAAGAAGCCAAGGGCAAUCAACACAUGCAUAACAAAAUCAUUCAAUUCAAUUGGCUUUAAAGCUAAAGAUAGUGUGUCUGCUAUACGUUUGAUUUUAGUAAAGUAAUCAGCCAUAUUCAUAAGUCUUUUCUUAAUAGUCUAAAUUUGCAUUCUCAGAGUUUCGAACUUGAGAUUUCGAGAUAAACAUACUGUUAAGUGAUUCCCAAAGUUACUUUGAAAUUGCACAAUUGAUUACUAUUAAAAGCAAGCUUUGCUGAAUAGAUGACAUCGUCCAACUUAGAAAAAGUUGAUCAACUUUUAUCCACGCUGUAAGCACAGGAUUUACAGAUCUAGAUCCACUUUCAACUGAGGCUCUAGCUCCGUUACUGCUCUCAGGUCCGCUCUGGACAGUUUUGAUCUCCAUUAAUGAAGCCUUCUAAUCCAUUUCCUUUAAUUGAAGCUAAGACUUGUGUAUGCCACAUAAUGAAAUUAUUUUGAUCGAGUUCAGCAUGUGUAGCAAAGCUAUAAGAUGAACUAGUUUGAGUCAUGCUUACCAUUGUUGGCUCUGAUACCAUGUUAAAAUCUUAAGAAACUGUGUUUAGCAAGCAAGAAAACUAAAAAGAAUUGAAAGAAAAUUCAGAAUAGAAACUUGUAGAAGCUUCUCAUCAGAAUUGAUUAGAAUGAGAACAGCUUACAUUUAUAUAGCGUGCUAAAAUGAUUUGCUAUAAGUUGUUAAUAAUUUGUCAUACACAUGUGCAUUAAGCCAAACCAAUUAACUAACUAUGCCACAUCAACUAAGUGAGCUAUUUUGCUGCUGUUGAUCAUACAAUAAUAGCAUGUACUCCCUUCCUUUGCUCUUCACGUAUUAUCAGCUUCAUUUACAGGUUAUUAUUGUAAAAAAAAUAAUAAUAAAAAGGAUAGUGGCGUAAUAUAUUCAGCAACAAGGGUAACUUAAGGUAUCAUUUUAAAUAUAGAAACUAAACGGGCACUUAACUCAAAAUAUAGGACCAAGCUAGUAUUUAUCCUUGUUUCGUUUAAUAUCUCUGCCUCAUAAUAAAAGGCUAUGCUUUUAUUUGUAAUCUUCAUGAAAAAAUAACUUCAGUUUUUUAGCGAACUCAAACUUCAAAUUCUUUAGCACCAUCAAUUUUUUUUUCAUAACUAUAGAUUUUUCUUUUUCAUAUCAGUUGUAGUUUUUAAGUCACUCAUCUCAAUAUAAAAAAGGACCUUAGUUGAUGAUUGAAGAUAUUAAAAAAAAAACCAACCAAAAAUAUUAAAAGUGAUGAUAAUUAGGAGAAGAAAGGAGGGGAGGGAAUCGGCAUCCGGUUACUUAUUAUUAAUACUCUACUUAUGUACAUUCUCAUUCCCAUCAUAAUUCUUCAAAGGAGGGGAUGACGAUCCCCAAAUAAUAAAAGAGAAUCCCAUAGGGUACCUAAUUCCCAAAUAAUUGAUAUUUUUAUUUUCUUAUCUUAAUAUAAUCAUAUUAAAGUGAAAGUACAAAAUUGUAUUACCAUACAAAAGCAUCAAAAUAAACUAGUGCAACUUAAAUAAUUUCCAAUAAACUAAGUCAAUGUCAUCAACAUUACAAGAUAAUUUAUGAAAUUAAGCAAAAGCAAAUCUUCACAUUUGGAUACAUCCAUAAAAAUGAAAUUAUCUCUUGCAUUAACAUUUAUCCAUUAUAAAAGUCACAUGGUAUAAAUUAUCAACAAAAUUGUCUCUUAUAUAUGAAUAAAAUAAUUAUGGCAAAUUUCAGUCAAAUGUUUAUAUUAGCUCUUACUUACAUCAUUAUUAUAAACAUGUAUUUGUUAUUUACAUAUGUACUAUUAAAAUUUAAGUUUUAAAUGUAUUUAGAAAGAAAGACACCCACACCUCUGAAGUUUACUUAAAUGGUUAUGUAGACUCUCUUAGUUUUAUAAAUAAUCACAUAAACCCCUUUCUAACUAUUAUAGCCUUGGAUUUUAAUAAGAGAAAAAUUAACUUUAAAUAAAUAAAAAAUGUAAUAUUUAAAAUAAUAUAAUUUAUAAAAAAAUCAUAAAUUACAAACUAUUUUGAAUAUUAGACAGAAUUAUUUUAAUAUUUAAUAUUAAUAAAAUCUUUUUCACAAAUUAAUACUAUAAAAUAAUUGUGUUUAACAUUCAAAAUAACUUACAAAAUCUAUACCAUAUAUAUUCUUUAAAAUAUUUUUAUACUUUUGUCUAUAUUAACAUAAGUUUAAAGCUAUCUUUUGGAUUAAAUGAUUUAAGUACUAAUAAAAUCUAUGAUGAAAUAUUGACAAUAGCUUAAUACUAAAAGUCAUUUGCAUGAGAUAUAACUGUCGUUAUAUUAAUUAUAUUUGUUUUAAUAUUUUAAUUGUAUUUAUAUGCUAUUUUAUAUCUUGCUCUUACCUUAGAAUUGUAAUUAUAUUUAUCAUAAAAGUUUUGACUAUAAUCCAAGGGUAUAAACAUGAAAAAAAUAAUCUAUGUGACCAUUUAUAAAAUUAAAGGAGAUUUUGAUAUUAUUUAAGCAAACAUUUGAGGUGUCAAUGGCUUUUUCCUAAUGUAUUUCCUAAAAAUUUUAGGAAAAAUAAAAAAGGGAAAUAUGAAAAUUUCAAUGAAUCUCCCUUUUCUUUUUCAAAAAAGAUAUUAGGUCUUAAGUUAUUUUUUCCGUUUUUUAAAUAAAGCAUUAAAUAUAAAUCUAUAUCCAUAUCACCCCAAAAUACGAAAAUUCCUCAGGAAUUAUCGUUCCUAAACAAGAAUCUUUGCCAUCCCUAACUCUUAUGCACAAAGUUUAUGUUGCUACAAGAAGUCAAGAACGACUUCGAUGGGUCUACCGACAUUAUUAUAAAUGGACCCCGAUUACAUUUAAAGUCUUCGGCUUCUUUCCCAUUUUCUUCUUCUUUUUCAUAAACAUGUUUUCUAACCCUUGUUCGGUUACUUCACGAAUACGACUGUUUGUGAUAUUCAUUUUUAUGCUUACUUGAGUGCCGCCGGCCGCCGUGAGGAUGACAAUGCAAUCACAUGAGAAAUUUUUCCGAACGCAUGAAAAAUUAACACCUGUCAACAAAUCUUUUGUUACAUAAUAUUUGUAUUUAAUAUGCUAUAAAUAAUUUGAACAUCUAAUAGAAAUAAAUUAAGUUAUUAAUUAUAUUAAUUUAUGACCAAAUAAUGAGCAUGGCCUUUUUUGGUAAUUAUAUAAGUACACUGCACUUUUAUGAUUAAUUUACUAAACAAAUAUAAUAAAUUAUUUCAUAAUUGAUUGUCUCACCAUCUACAUUUUUCAAAAACCUUGGAAAAUUAUUUGUGUUUGAGGAAUUAAAUAGAGCGACCAUGAUCUCCUCCGAGUGAAAGUGAGCAAAUGGUUGAGCAGGUCACCUUGACCAUGUGGUAUGAGCUUGAGCAGAUCACCUCGACCAGGUACAAUGAGGUUGAGCAGAUCGCCUUGACCAGGUGGUGUGAGCUUGAGCAGAUGAGCAUGUGGUAUGAGCUUGAGCAAAUCACCUCGACCAGGUGCUAUGAGGUGGAGCAGAUCACCUCGACCAGGUGCUAUGAGGUGGAGCAGAUCACCUCGAUCAGGUGCUAUGAGCUCGAGCAGAUCACCUCAACCAUGUGCUAUGAGCUUGACCAGAUCACCUCGACCAGGUGGUCUAAACUUGAGCAGAUCACCUCGACCAGGUGAUGACCAGGAAUAAAGACUCAAUUAAAAUAAACCACCACAAAGAUCCUCCGAAAAAUCAGGGCACGAAUUUGAUCAAUUAAUGGUUAUUGGCACGAUCUAAGGUCGUGGGUGUGGGGUGUUUAUAAAAACCCCGAGAAAACCACGCCAAGGAGGCUCUUAAUUUCUCUUGAUCUGACAGAGAAAUUCUUUCUGGAUACUCGACUUUACUUUCCUGCAAAUUAGUCAAAAAGCUUUGGGUUUUAAAGCAAUGUUUAUUAAGCCAUAUGAGGAUGGGCAUAUUUGGUUUUUCCUAUAAACCCCAUAACUGACUUGAGCGUCGGAGGGUUUACGCCGGAAAAACUUCCGGCACCUCUGACCAUUCUCUGUAAUUUCAGGUACUUAUUGAUUGUCAGUUUGAAGAUUAUAUGCUCAUGAAUGUUCUGCUCAUAGUCAGAGAAUAUUCUCGGAGAUCAACCAUCAGCUUCCCACCAACAAAUUUAAUGCUGAUGCAGGGAUCUGAAACUGAGUCACUAACCAACUGGUUCAGAUUUCGGCAUCAACAAUUUGCAAAGUUGACUAUUUGAUCAAAAGUUCAAUUUUUUUAACAGAAAUUAAUGUUGGGAGUAUUUGAACUUAUUAAUUUUUUUUUUUAAACAAUCAAGAGAUACAUAUAUUACAAACUAAAUUCUAUUGGUAGUCUAGAUAGUUGUAUUUCUAACACACCCUAAAAAUCGGCCUAUUACUAAUUCCAUAUUGAAGAGAUAUAUAUUAUAUAUCCACUUUUAUUUGGAUAAGGAAAUGAGAUGCGUGAGGUCACCAUUGGGCUAUGUCAACCUUUGCUCCAAACAUUCACAAUUAUAUUUAGUAUUUUCUCGUGCUAGGUGAUUCAAUUACAUUGAAUUAUAUUAAUGUUGUCAUGUGUUUGGUGUAACGCGAGAUUGGUCAAGGUUUUAUAUAAAAUUUACAUUAUUAAAAUGAAAAUAAAUAGUUGGAUAUUGGUUUAAAUUUUAUUAUAGAAUUUAUAAAUAUUAUUACCAUGUAUUUUUUUCUGUCUUCUAAUUUAUCCCUUAAUUAAUAACAUAAGAGAUCUGUUAUUGAGAAAUUAUUAAUUAAUAUUAAUUUUCAUUCAAUAUUGCCCCCGUAGAUCGAAACAGCGUCAGUUAAGAGACUCUUUCGUUUAUGUUAGCGAUGAUCGAAGCUUCAUUUGAAAGAGAUGCUUUACGGAUUAUUUAGCUUAUGUCAUUAAUAAAUAUACAUGAUCAUAACUAAUUUCCAGCUUCUGGUGAAGUUAAAAUCGUUAUUUUUCCAUUUUGUGAUUCAAGCAUGUAUUUUUAAAAUUUUAUAAUUAAGUUUAAUAAAUUGAAUGGUAUGUGAGUAUCAUUUCAUUACAUUUACAUCUCUAUCUUUAAUUUUAAGGAAGCUAUAUUAGCUGAUAUUUCUAACAGACAAUCGAAUCUGUUCUAAAUAGAAAAAUAGAAAUCCUUUCAGCCAAAAAAAAAAAAAUUCCUCCUUUGAAUCUGGCGACAAAGGAUAACUUGUUUUUUUUUUUUUGCGAAAAAUUGUUCAAAACAAUAAGAGUAUAUCUUGUUUGUAAAGAGAGCACUCCUUUUUUUUUUUGAUAUUUCUAUCUGAUUUAACCAAUGAGUUAGAACGAAUGAACGAAUCAGUCACUACAAGGAUAUUGGUAUUUAGCAAUGAAAAUAUUUCUAUUGCUGUAAGUACUUUUUAGCAACGAAAAAAACUUUUGUCACUAAAUUCAUAAUAGAAAAAAUAAUAUUUAAUUAUCACUUUUAGUGAUGAAAGAUUCGUUGUCAAGGAGGACAUAUUGCGACCAAAAAUUUUGUUCAUCGCCAAAAAAUUAAGCGGUAAAAAAAAUGUUGAUGCCUAAACCUUUAGCGACCAAAAUUUGAUAUAUGACGAUGAAUAAUUUUCAUCGCUAAAUAUAGUUUUAGCGACGAAUAUAUUUCGUCGCUAAAACUCCUUGAUAUGCCAAAAAAAGUAUGUUUCAGCAACGAAACUAAAUUUCGUCGCUAAAAAUUGUUUUAGCGAUGAAAUCUAUUUAUUGCUAAAACUUUUUUAUAUGCAAAAAGAACAUGUUUCAAUAACAAAACUAAAUUUCGUAACUAAAGCUCUAUGAUAUGCCAAUAGAGCAUGUUUUAGCGACGACACUAAAUUUCGUAACUAAAUCUCUAUGAUAUGUCAAAAGAGUAUGUUUUUAGCAAUAAAAAUAAAUUUCAUUGUUAAAAAUAGUUUAUUUCGUCGCUAAAACUCUUUUAUAUGCUAAAAGACCAUAUUUUAGCGAGAAAAAUAAAUUUCAUUGAUAAAAAUAGUUUUGGCGACGAAAUCUAUUUGUCACUAAAACUCUUUGAUAUGCUGAAGAGCAUGUUUUAGGGACAAAAAUUAGAUUUCAGUGACGAAAUUUGUAUUGCGUCGCAAAAAAAAUGUGUAAAUUCAAAAAAAAAAUUUGACGGAUGACUUUUCACCAAAAUUUAAGACUUUUAGCGACAAAACUAAAUUUCGUGACUGCAUGUGUACUUUUAGAAACGAAAAUUAAGUUUUCUGGCUAAAUGUGCACUUUUAGCGAUGAAAUAUUCAUUUCAUCACUAAAAAUGUCAAAAUUUAAAAAUUUUUAGCGGGCUAUUUUCCGCCAAAGUUAAGUUUUAGCAAUGAAUUUUAAAAUUCGUUGCUAAAAACUCUUGUAGCCUAUUUACAUAUCAUUUACUUCAUUUCUUUCGUUAAUUCUUUCAUUCUCUCAUUCCCUUACUUUAAUUCUUUAGUUCUCUCGUCUCUAAAUAUGUAAUUUUUAUUUUCUAAUUUAAUCUCUACUUCUUUUCUCUUUUAUUUUUGAUGUGGUGUAAUUUUUUUUUUAUCUUAUUUAUUUCAACUUAUAUUAUUAUUAUAUUUGUGUUUAUUAUGUUAACUAACUAUUGUGUAUUUAUUUGUAGGGAAUAUUGAAGAUCAAUUACAUCAAGAUGAAGAAAAUUAAGAAAUUUAUAUUCAUUUGUAACAAUUUUCUUUCAAAAAAUAGAUAUUAAAUUUUGUAAUUAUUUUUGUAUUGUUCAUCAAUAAUAAUAAUUAUUUUUAAAAGUAAUUAAUUUUUUUUAUCACAAUGGUUAAUUGUCCUUAUAAUUUAGUAUUAAAAAUAAUAAUAUUUUAAAAAUAAUAAUAUUUUAAAAAUAAUAAUAAUACGAUGAAAUAGUUUUCGUAAUUAUUUUUCGUCGCUAAAAGUUCUUUUGCUGAUGAAAUAGAAUUUGUCGCUAAAAGAGCUUUCGCAUCGUUAAAAGAACUUUUUGCAACAAAAUAGAAUUCGUCCCUAAAAGAACUUUUGGCGAUGAAAUUUAAAAAUUCGACGCCAAAGAACUAACGCGAUCUCCUAUUGCGACGAAAUAGCGAUGAAAAUUUUUUCAUCUCUACAGCCUUUAGCAACGAAAAUGACAUAUUUUAGAGAUGAAAUUGUUCGUCGCUAAGACCUUUAUUUAUUGUAGUGAUUUUUUAUCGUCACUAAGACAUGAUUUUUUAAAGCGUCUGCUUUUAUGUUAUUUUAUAGGGUUCGAAUAGGAUGACGACUUCUAAAAUAUCAGUAUUAAUUUAUUAUUAGUUAGGUGAGAAAUAAGAUAUUUAAUUCUAUAAACUAUUGUACAACAAAUGAUUACAAGUAACGAUCAGUCAAGUCAAUGUGUGUGUGUGUGUAUACAUAUACAUAUACAUACACAUACAUACAUACAUACAGCUAGAAAAAUGUCUUAUUUGUUUUGUCAUUUUUAACUUUCCGGUCAAAUACGAUUGCACUUGGAAUCUCGGACCCACCAAAAAGUUUUCCAUUGAUAAGGACCGAUUGCAACUUACAGACAGAUACAAAAAAAUGUAAAUACAAUUCCAAGUCCUUUCUGAAGUUCUCGCCCUGUUCUAUACGUAAUUUAUGAAAUAUUCGUCGAUUCUACAUAACAAGUGGGCCUUAUCUGCUCGACUAAUUGCUCGUAUUUUUUGUUUUUACUGUUGUUCAUAUCUGCUAGUGGGGUUUUUCGAAAUCAUUGAUUUUUUUUUUCAUUUGAAAUUAAUAUCAAAACACAGCACCAUACUUUUUUCUGUGUAAUUUAGAACUAUCGCAUAAUGUUUUCUAUUCGGCCAUCGAUUAUUUAAUUGAUAACGGCCUAGCGGUCACGUGGCUAGAAAUUCUCUUCUUCUAUUUUAAUUAAAUUUCGUAUAUACUUCUCAUUUUUUGCGAGUAUAUUGAAGACCAAAAUAAUAAUAAUAAUAAUAAUAAUGUAUUACUUCCCAAAUUGCCUUCAUUAUAAUAUUUGGCCGCAAAACUAAUAAAACUGACAAAAAUUGCAAAGAAUAAAUAAAAAUUUAAAUUAAUUGAUAAUGGGAGAAUUACCAUUAAAAAAAAGAUUGAACUAUUUUUUAGGGCUUCUAACCCUUUUAUCUAAUACCGUUAAUAGAGGAUAAAGUUUUAGAUUUAGGGAUUCCCUUAAGGUGUGUUUGGCAUACCUCAAUACAUGGGAUUACAUUAGUUAAUGCAAUGCAAUCCCAUAUUUGGUAAAUCUUCCUAUUCACAUUAUGGUGUAUUACACAAUACACCAUAAUAUGAGGAGUGCCACAUUAAAAUAACUUGAGGGGGGUUGGAUUUGUGUAAUACGAUACUGUUCACAUUUGUUUUUUUUUAAUUUCUUUAAUUAAAAUAAUAAAAAAUAAAUAAAAAUGUAUAAUAUUUAAUUAAAUUAAAAACUCAAGUAUGUAGUCUGCCCGUGUGCAUAACUUCAUGUUUUGCACAAAAAUUUAGUACUAUUAACAUCCUUAUUGCUGAGGUUAAAAAAUAAUGCAAUUAUUCCCAGUACAGUAAUAAAAUUUGAAGACCAAAACUUUGACCGUACAUAUAUGACGAAUGAAAAUUUCUUUGUUGUAAUAUUUGUACCAUUGCAUAGCCCUGACAAUAAUGAUUCUAAUGAUAUCAAAAUAUAGUUCAAAUGACAGUAAAGUACGAUUGUCAACAGUGAAAAGCUUUUAUUUGAAUUAUAAAAGUUUAAAUUAUUAAUUAAAUAUAAGUAAUAAUAAAAUAUAAAUGAAUCUUAGAUUAGUAAUUUAAUAUAAAUAUGAAAAUAAAAAAAUAUUAUUUUAUAUAACAUAGUGCAUAUUAUAUCAAAUAUAGUAUCGCAUUACAGUUUAAUACAAUAUAAUGCAAUACAAUACAAUGUGUCAAAAACACGUUUAAAACAAAAUGUCACAACCACAAGAUUAUUUGGUAGGCCUACUUGUGUCAUCCUUAGUUUUUUUUUUUUUUUUGUGCCAAAUAGUAUAUUGGGAUUAAAUUUUAACAAAAUUAGUCUAUUCCACCAUCCUUAACUGCACCCAAACAUACCCCAAGGAUUAACUAUGAGAAAACUUUAAUAAAGACUUAUGGUACGUAUACUUGGAAUUGA